AGGUCAAUUAAGUUAAGAUUCAAUCAGCAAGUUUAUGUAUCACUUUCGACCAUAAAUAAAUUUAGAUAUCAAUACGAGAAAAUAAGUAUAUUUUAAGCAUUAGUUUGUUAAAUAAGCCUUCUUUAUUUUAUAUUAGUUUUAUUUGUAAAUUUGGUAGCAAAUCAUCGAAGCCAAGUGAAACUAAAUGGAAAAAAAUCAUUUAAAAUUGUAAAAUAUAAACAAAUUCUAAGAGAAACUCAAAUUAUUAUAGUUUUUUAAUUGCAUCUUUUUUAAAUUUUAUAAUUAUGAGUGUAUUUUAGAAAAUCAUAAAAUAGUUAAAAUUAAUUAUAAUAAUUUUAGAAUAAUUAUUUGGUAUACCAGUAAUAAAAAAUUUUAACUUCAUAAGUGAAAUUCUUAAACUUGAAAAAUAUAAAUAUUUGAGGUUAAUAAAUUCAUUUUAGUCAUUGGUCUUGAAAAUUAUAAAUGUUUGAUGACAUGGCACUUUGAGAUCGUACCACGUCAUCACCUUGAAAUUUAUAUAUAUAUUUAAAUUUUCAAGUGAUGACAUGAUAUAAUUUUAGAGUGUUAUAUAUUGUGUUUUAAUAGCCAAACUAAUGGUUGAAUCAAUCAAACUAUUAGCUCCCGAUUUAAUCGGUGAUUGGUUCAACUGCUAAACCAAUAAUAAAUAAAUAAUUAAAAAUUCAUAAUUUUUUAAACAAAAAAUAUUAAAUUGUUCAACCUCUGUCCUAGUUUUCACUUUUGAUUAGUUUCAAGCAGUUUUUUAUUCAAUUGAUUCAACCCAUUUAUUUUGAUUAGUAUAUUGGUUGGUUCUCGAUCCAAUUAGUCCGAUCAAUCAAUCCAGCCACAUAUCAUCAAAUGUUGAUGAGAUCCAAGUUCAAAGAUCAAAUCAAAUCUAGUUGCCAAGUUCAAGUAUCAAAAUAAACAAAAUAAAAAGUACAAAUACCAAGUGAACCUAAUUGCCAAAUUUAAGGGCUAAAAAUGAUAUUAUCCCUUGCAUUCAAAACAAAAUUAAAAUCGGGUCAUAGCCCGACCGAACCGGCUAUCAACAUUAUGCAUAAAAAAUAAAAAUAAAACCUAUAAUCGGACGGUGAGGAUGAGAUGGGGAACCUUCACCCAAAGUGGAUGGCAGCUUCCUAGCCAACACCAAGCACCACACCAUGGACCCACUCUUCAAAUCUAAUCUGUUUUUGCACCAAUUAUUCCCUGUUUCUUUGUUUAUUCCAUUUGGCUUUAUUUCAAACCACCUUAACCUAGGGUUCUUACUUCUUAAUAUACUUUUGAUCACAAAAGUAUCUCAUCUGAUGCUUUUGCCUGUUACCUUAAAUCGAGGGUUUUUUUUAAUUAAAUUAUUUUCCACUUUGUUUUUUUUUUGGUCGAAAUUAUUUUUCCACUUUGUUGAUUGUUAUUUUAAAUACACACUUUAUUGAUUGUUGAGAUCUUAAAUAUGUAUCAAAAAAAAAAAAGUCUUAUUUUUCCAUAUUUUCCAUUAUUUUUUUAUUCUUUUAAUUCAAUCCAAAAAGUAAUGCAUUAAAAACAAUUUUAUAUUGAAGUCGGUUGAAGGGUGAUUAGGCUAUCAUUUUAUCUUUUGUUAAUUUUAAUUAUCCAAACAAGAGAUACAUAAUCAUUUAGUUUGUUUUUUUUUUCAAUUUCUCACUCUUUUCCUUUGUUUUUUCUUUCGUUGCUUUUAAUCCAAAUAGUGUUAAAAAGUGUUUGGUUUAAAUUAAGAAAGGGAUGGGAAGUUUCUUUUCCACAAAAGAAUACCGAAUUAUAAGAAUAUGGUUUAACCUGUAUUUCUUUUAAAAUAUGACCAUUAAAUCAGUAUCUUAAAUUCUCAUAUAAUGAAGAAAAAUAAUCUAAGGUAAAUCAGUAGUUACUGAAACAAUUCUGGAGUAGAUAAAAAUAAGGUUAAAAUAUGUGGUUGUGAGCAUGUGAUUACAUAUAAUAAUUCACCCAUAAAGUUGAUCAAUGCUUAAGUUCGAAUCUAUAUAUAAAUUAAAGCACAUGGUUCCCAAAUUCUGGAACCUUUUAAAAGCACGCUAAAGCCCAGUCACUCCACGAAUGCCGGGAGCAAUGAUCUUCAGACUUAAGAUUUGUUCGAAACAUAGGAUGCUUUUCUUAAUCAUACAAUAAUCGGAUUUAGUCCUAUUUAACAGUUAGGAAUAUUUAAUUGGAUUUUAGGUACAUUUUCUUUAUGCUCUUAGUAUAUGAACUGUCAUUCUAAUACUUAUAUUUAGAAAGAUAAAUAUUUUAAUAUAAUAUCAUUUGUAUAAUCACUUUCUAAAUUAGUGUCUAAUGUUUGUAAUUUAAAGAGUGCUUGAAAAGUUACAUAAUAAUUGAAUUUAGAUGUAAUUUAUUGUAAUUACACAAGUGUAACAUGCAAUGGUAGAGUCAGGGAGGCUGGUAGGAGUCCUGACCCUCCUAAAAUGAAAAAAUUUAUAUUUAUGCUCUUUAUAAUUUAUAAAAAUUUAAAUUAAGAAUAGUAAAAUGGCACUUUGCCCCCCAAAAAUAAUAAAAAUUUGAUUUAAUCAUUUAAAAUUUAUAAAGAUAUAUACCAUUAAAAUGGUGAAAUUACAUUUUUACUAUCAUAAAAAUAUAUAAUUUAAAUCUAGCCCCCUAAAAAAUUUUCUAACUCCGACACUGGUGACAUUCUAAAUAACUAUUUUAAAGUUUUUUAAAUAUAAAAUAUGUAAUUGUGUAAUUACACUAAACAUGACACAUAGAAUUGCAAUACAAUUAUACUUUGUCAACUAAUUAUUUUGUAAAAACUAUUUGAAUAAUUACACUUACAUUCAAUUAGUUUGAAGGUUAUAUUAGAGUGAUUGACAUAUAUUGGGUUGAUAACUAGUUGGGCAUGUUGAUUAAAUUUUAGCAGUAGCUAAUACGAAUUGUAUAGUACCAAUUGGAAGAUUGCAAAUUAAGGGUUUUGUCAUUCCCGUAUAUAAAAACAAGAGACAAUGGGUAGACAUACAAUUACUCACCACCAUAAUAAAGUGCAGGACAAUUUAUGAAAUUGAAUAAAAAAAAGGGAAGCUUGGUUGGGAUUGAGUUGUCAUGACUGCUAGCUAAUUACUUACUGGGACCAUCUUUAUUGGAUUAAAUAAUAAGAAGUUGUUAUUUUUUUAAAGUAACAUUUUGAAUUUAAAUUUCAUUGACAGAAAAAAGAAAAUUAAAAUAUUUCUAUUAUUGUUUACGAUUUAAUUGAGAUAUAAUAUAAUUAUUUAAUAAAGGGUUAAAAAGGGACCAUUGUCGGCCCUUUACAAAGUAGGGACUCCUAUUUUGGGAUAUUUGUACUUUAACAAAGCUAUUGCUUUUACUGGAGGCAAAAACUGAAGUAAAAUCAUUGAACCUGGUGGUGGUGGUGGUGGGGAUCCAAAGCCAGCCUGUUAUUUUUGGCUAAUAUUAUGUGGUGACUCAUUUGCCAACCAUUUUAGAAACGCUAUAAAUACUAUAGAAGUACAAGUAUAAUAGAUUAUUGGCAGUUUAUAAAUCAAUUUUAGAAGACAAAAAGGUAAAUUAAAAUUAGGACUUUUUUAAAACAAUCGGAGCAGUCAAUGAUAAUUAGGAUGCCUCCUACCGAGUUAAUAAAGAUAAGAGAGGUUGUUUUGGACACGACCAACCUCUUUCUUCUAUAGAUAUUCUACUUUAGGAAUAAAAUACUCGAUUGAGUUAAACCUACAAACUAAAUCUUAAUAUAUAUUUGUAUGUAAAUAAUUGUCACAUUUAUUCCACGUCAGAUUUGGUGUUCAUCUGGUAACAUUAUGGCUGGUAGCUACCUAGCUUUCAUUUCGACAUUAUGCGAAUCAAAAAAGGUACAUUCGGUUUGGGUCGUGAAACUAAAAACACGUAUUAUGUAGGUCCACUAUUUCGUAAAAGUACAAAAACGUGAUAGUUUUUAAGUGGUUUCGAUUUUCAACCCUUCUUCCCCCCCCCCUCUCUCCUUAUUGGCAGUCUCUUUUCUACGUUCAAUGUGAAGCUUCCAUCUAUUUUUCUCCCCCUUCUCUCUUAAUUAUUUCAAAUAUUUCCAUUCUUUCAUUAAUGUAACAGUCGAAAUUUUGAUAUUCCGGUCAUUUUACAAUUUAAAAAUUAUCUCCUCUACUGCUAUCAUUUUUAAUAAAAUAAUUUGAACAGAAUAAAAUAAAAAAUUCAAAUGUUAUAAAUAAACUUAAGAAAAUAACACAUACUUUUCUAUCUUUCGAUGAGAAUUAAAAUAAUUUAAAUAAUACAUAAUAGCCGCUUAAUCAUACUUCCAUUACAAUAUAUAAAAAGUAAGGGUGUUCAGUCGGUUAAUCGACCCGAAAUAACAUUAAUCGAAUUAACCGAGUUUUCAAAAUUUUUAACUGUUAACCAAACCGAAAUUUUUUCGGUUAAUUCGGUCGGUUAAUGAAAUUAACCGAAAAUUAUAUGGUUUUUAUUUUUGGUUAAAAAUUAACCGAAUUACCGAAAUUAACCAAAUUAAUCGAAUUACCCGAAUUAACCGAAUUAAAUCACUCCAUAAUUAAAAAUAUUACAUAAGUCUUUGAAAUUUAUUUUUAUUUAUUAAAUUAUUUGUAAUUUUUAUAAUUGGGUUGGGGUGGAUACUUGGGUUUGGAUUGGGCUUAAGUGAAUAGUGGGCCUAUUCAUAUAUUAUAAUUUUAUUUAUUAAUUUUUUCGGUUAACCGACUGGUUUCGAACCGAAUUAACCGUUAACCGAAAAAUCAAAAAAUAAUUAACCGACCCCUGACUGAAAAAUUCGGUUAACAGACCGAUUAAUCGAAUUUUUCGGUUUUACCUGAAUUUUGCACACCCCUAAUAAAAGGAAAUACAUCAAGGUUUGUAUAGGAGUCAAUUCGUCUUCACGUGGACAUGUCCGGUAUUAGUAAAUGUAUAUUUUGGUUACUGAACUGUUUAAAAUUUUUUUAUUUUAAUUAUUAAUUUAUUUAAAUAUUUUUAUGUAAGUCCCUAGAUUGUUAAUUUUUUUUUCUUUUUAAAAGAUUGGCUAACAAGUUUCAUGCGACGAUUCAAUGAUUGGUACAAUAGAUCAAUGCCAAUCGACAAGUAGGAGAAUAAAUCUUAGGUCUAAGUCAAUUCGGAGAUUGGUAGAAAAAAGUGUUCGGAUUUUAGGUUUCAUAGAUUCAUGACAUUCAAUAUUGUUUGAAAAAAAUAAGAAUUGUAGAAGAGAAAGGAAUGAGACAUUUCAAUCAGUGCAAGCGGUUAAACAAAGGUGGUCAUACAGGCUAUGACAGCUAUUUUAACUGUCCAAUUAGUUAAAUGAAAACGUUUAAAUAGUUCACUAACUGUUUUUUAAUUUUUUGAAAUUGGGUGAUCAAAACAUAAAAUUACUAAUAAUUUAGUGACUUUAGAUGCAAUUUACUCUAAUAUCAUUUGGUUUUCUAUGGAAAAGGAAGGGAAAAAAUGUAUUUUUAUAUUAUUUUUGUGUAUAUUUAUAUGAAAAAAUAUUUUAUUUUUAAAUAAAAUGUUUAAAGUAAUUUGUUGUCAUAAUUCAUGAAGACUAUAGGGUGAAAAAGAAGACAUUAUAUUAGAAGUAUUGAUAAACGAAAUCACCUAAGAAUGACGUUUUAGGCUUUCAUAUAUGCCAUGGUGACUUCGAAUAAGAAAAAAGAAAAGCCGCCAUGGUUGCGAGCUACCAAUUUAGUUGAAUUUAUCCUCUAGCGUUUGAGGUAUAUUGGAUCCAAACUAGGUAUUGUUAUCAAUGAUCCAAGCCUGUGUUGAUUCGGGCCUUUGUCGACUUUAGACCGAAAUGAACAUUAUAUUCGUAUUUAUUAAGAAAAUUUAGAUUUGGAAGACCGUCUUUCUUAAUUUUAAGCUUAAUCUUAUAUUAUUGGUUUUGUCUGAGUUAAGUACUUAAAAUUAUUUUCUGUUCACCUGGCUACCUAAAUUUUGAUUAUGCUAUUGAAGUGGGUAUCUGCCAUUAAAGCCGUUAAAAAAGAUUCUAGCCAAUGAAAUUGUGCCAUGUCACUUUAAAAAUAUAAUUAAGAAUACUUUUAAAUUAAUUCUAAUUAAAAAAGUUAUAGUGCUAUUAAAUAAAAAAUCCUCCCUCCCCACACCAUCCCCUCGAAGGAAUGCCAAGUUGGAUAUUUUAUACAUUUUGAUCAAUAUAUAUACGCUUUCUGCCAUUGCUCAGAAGCCACGUGUAGAACUACAACUCAUAUUGUAAUAUGCUUUGAUUCUCAUUUUAGUGAUGCACAUAUUUCCGAAAAAAAUAAAAGUAAUCCUCGCAACGCUAGAGUUGGCAGUAGGGAGAGAUUCUAGCUCACUGCAAUUUGAUUUUAUAUUAAUCAAUUUUACUGGAAAUUGAGGAAAACAAAUUUACAAACCUUCAUUUUUCAUUCAAAUACUAUUUAAUAUAUAUAGUAUUGUUAUAGUAUAUUUAAAUGAUAAUAAUACUGUUUUUAGAAUACAUUAUUUUAUAAUAUUCGUGAAAAAUAAUAGUUUUAAAAAUUAAAUUUAAUAUAUUAUAUCGCACGAGAAUGAAAAUUGAAUUUGAAAUAUAAUAAAUUUUAUUUCGUCAACUGUUAAUAGGUAUAAGUGGGUGUAGAGUGAUAUUGAAUAUUUAUUAUUAUUUUAUUAAUAAUUCAGUAAUUUUAAUGAAUGAUUUAAUUUUUAAAAGUGAGUGACCAAAAUAUAAAUUUAUUAAUAGUUAAGUGGUUUGUGUGUGGUUUAUCCUUUUUAAAUAUAUUUUAUUUUUUUAAAACAAACACAUAAAAGUUAAUUUUUGGCUAAACAUCCAAACUUCGCAAUGCACGUGUUGUUUUGUUCAUAUUCUUACACUUUCCUAUAAUCUCUCACCAAACAAAACACCCUUACAGAAAAAAAGCCCAAAUAAAAUUGCCGGCCGUGCCAUUGUUUCAUACAAAAUCAAACUGACCGUACAGUUCCCAGAACCCAAAUAUCCUUAAAAAAAAAAAAAGCUUUUGGGGUUAUGGUUUACUUUGGCUGUGCAUUGUCCUCGAAAGAACUUCCUCUGUCAUUUUAAUUUUGGAUAAUUUACUAUUUUUUGUUUCGUUUUCUUUUUGGUCUCAAUUUUAAGUCAUUAAAAUGGGAAAGAGAAGGGCAAGCUCCCAACAUCUUAAUCAUCAUAAUCUCCACCUUCCUUCUUCUUCGGGUACGUUUAUUUUUUUCUUUUUUAUUUUGUUCCAAUCUAAGUUUGAAGCCUUUUAGGUACAUGAAAAAUGUUCGAAAUUUGGUAUGCCGCCAUCGUAAUUUUUCUUCUUUCUUUUUUAAUUUUGUUAAUUUUUCUGGCUUGUUGGGUCAAGGUUUUAUUCAAUUAUUCAUCAAUAUUUGAUCUGGGUGUGUACUUCUUAUUUUCUCUGUUGAUUACACGGUUUUAAUUUCUUGAAUUGUUUAUUAUCAUCAUUAUUAAUGCUUGUUUUUUGAUGCUAUUUGAUUUGGAGUGUUGUGGGAUUCUAUGAAUUAUGAGAUUUGAAGAGAAAAAAAAGAGUUUCAUUUAUGGUAUCAAAUAGGUUGGAGAAUCAUAUUCUUGUAUGUCUCUUCAAUGGUUACUUUUGUUGAUACGGUUCUUGGCCUUUAGGGGAGUUUUAGUUAUGAAAAAUUGAUAUCAGAAACCAGGGCUAGAAUGUUUUGUCUGUUCCUGGCCUAGAAUGUUCCGGAUGAACACAGGUUCGUCUGGCUUCUUUGCGCUUUUACGUUACGGAAGUGUUGUAUUUUAUUUUGAUCAUACAAACCUUCAUGGUGUUGUGAAACUUAGGAGAUUUCUGUUCAUAAACAUUGCAAACUAUGCCCAAUCUUAACAGGUAUUGCGGGGAUGAUUAAUGGAAAAUUUAUAGGUAACAAACUAACAAUAGCUUAAACAAUUUUGCAGUCUACCAUUAAUAUGUAUAUAUUCUCUUUGAAAUUUUUGUGCUCUUUUUCAUUUGAUUGGAAGCUGUUUUGCAUCUUAUUUACUAAACGUAGGACCUAUUAGAUUGAGCAUUUGUUUGCAGUAUCAUCUAGAUAUUAGGUCUUUUAUAUAUGUUAUUAAGUUGAUGCACAUUGGUUCGGGUUAGAAAAGGUGGUUCAAUACUUUUCUUUUGCUACCUUGAUGUGGUCAUAAUGAGAUUGUGGUGAUCAUCUUGGUCUCGGUAGAUGAAAUAUGUCCGUGCAAUGGAUUGGUUUAUCUUCAGCUUUAUAAUCUGAUAUUCUGAAAGUGCUAAAAAUUCUUUGUCUUUAUAAUGCGAAAGUUAAGAAUAUGGAUAAUGGUUGUGCUCUUUAUUAAAUAUUGCAGCAGGCAUGCCAUGCUCAUCGGGAACAGAGUUAUUAUCCAACGAGGUUUUGUACUUUUCCUUGUUCGUUACUUGGAUAUAAUAAUGUUUUUGCCCCUCCAUCUCUUUGUCAACUGGAUGGUCUGCAAUAGUUCAUUGAUUUUUUUUAUCUCUCUUUGUUUUAUAGCCUUCAUUCAAUUUGGAUGCUGGCAUGGAUGUUAGAGAUGGUUCAAUGAAGCUACUAAAUCCCAACUCUUCAGUUGGUCAACGCCAUUACAAUUUCGGGCGUUCGAUAUUUUCAAAACGAUCACGCCGUUACUAUGACCAGCAUUACCAAUUCCAAAACUUUGGCAACCAUUCUAAUCCAUCAACUUCUCGUGCCAAGAUUAGUCCUUUACAUGAUGAGAGGUUGUCGUUCAAGUUCACUGAUUCCAGCCAAGAGCCUGGACGCCAAUCAGGUUACAUGCAUCUUUUAUUGGUUUUCAUGCCAUGAAUCUGUUUGUUUCCAUAGCAUGUGAUAGUGUGAAUGAAUCUUUUAACUUAUCAAAAUCGGUGCAUAAAUGAUAAAACAAGAUAUCGAGAUUUCAUAGCCAAAAUUAAGUGUUUCAUUCUGGUUUAUGUUUUGCCAUGCUAUCUAAAGUGUCCCAACUUCUACAGAUGGUAGACAAAAAGCGUUCGGCAGACCCGAAAGGAUUAGGUCCAGUUUGUUGGUGACGGAUCCGGUAUCACCUGACAAGGUGAAGAUGAUUUGUGGCCUAUGCCAAAAGCAUCUGAGACGGAAACCGUGUUUUCUCGGAAAUACCCUGGCUUCUACUGAAUUCUCUGUCGUGGCAGUUCUAGUUUGCGGGCAUGCAUAUCAUGCAGAUUGUUUGGAAGGGAGAACGAGUUUCGAGAACAGGCGUGACCCGCCAUGUCCUUUAUGUUCAGGUUCCCCAUCACAAGUUUGAUGGUUCGAACAAGAAAGAAGUGAUUAUGCAUAUAGAUGUCCACAUAAAAUUUAUCAUACUAAAUUUCUGAAAGUAUUAUAGGAAAUGAAUGUAGGCUGUUUGUUGUGAUGAAAGGUGAAGGUUUACACAUUAGGAUCUUAACCAGGUAUUUUGUAUUUUGCUAAGAUUAGAGCUAGUUUAGUACCCUGAAGGCUUUUCUUCUUGUACCUUAAAACCUAUUACAGUGAAGGUUUACAAAUUAGGAUCUUAACCAGGUAUUUUGCAUUUUGAACAACAAGACAUCAGUAAUGGCAUGCAAACGAAGCAAGUUAUUAGAAAUUUUAUCAGUAUGCACAUGAAAACUACCUCUGUAUAACAUAGGGAUGUGUUUAAAAUAACAUAUAAUAAAUAAUAGGUUAAAAUAUGUCUAAAAAGUCCUUGUACUUUUCAAAGAAUUUAGAUCUUUUAAUUAUUUGGAUACUAAUUGAGUAGGUUUUGCUUUUAUUUUAAAACGUCAUAGUAUCCAAUUUAAUAAAAAAAAUUAACAGUGUUAACAGUUAGAUUUGAAUAUUAAAAUCUGAAAAGUAAAGGAAUUAAAUUUCUAAAAAUACAAGUAUAAUAAGAAAUAAAUUCUCAAUUUUUAAAAAAUAUAAAGAUUAUAGACACAUUUUAAUCUAAAUAAUAAAAUUUAUAAUUUCAAACUAAGUAACAAUAACACAUGUAAUAUAUAUAGGAUAUUAAUCUAAAUUACACAAAUACACUUAAUCCGAAAUACGCAAUCAUACUCAUCAAACCGUAUGGACAGUUCUCAUUUUGGUAAGUAGGACAACGAGAUAUUAUUCCUAGUUCGAUUAACAAUUUUCCUCAAAAUUUAUACGUCUUUAUAAAAAUAAAUAAAUAAAUAAAGCUGAAGGAUAAUUCGAUUAACCAUCACAAGCAAAGUUGAAUUUAAAUUAUAUUGAGGAAAUCAUUUUGUUAAGAUAUUAAAAUAAAUAAUAACAAAGGAUCACGUAAGGACCGCAUAGCGCAGUGGAUUAGCGCGUUUGACUUCGGAUCAAAAGGUCGUGGGUUCGACUCCCACUGUGGUCGUAGGUUUUAUGUUCUGCAUUUUGGGCUUCGGUAUUCUAUAGGCCCAACCAUCCUUUUGUUGUGCAAUAAGGUCAAAUACAUUGGAUUUAAUUUUUAAUCUCUGAAAAUAUCAAAGAAACAAAAUGAAUCUUUUCGGUGUUGUUAGUAAUAAAUAAAUAACAAUGAAAAAGAGGUCUUUUUUCCUUAUUGUAAUAAAUGAAUCUUUAUGAGAUUAUAUGAAAUCAAAAUAUUACACCAAUGGCGUGUAGGGACCGCAUAGCGCAGUGGAUUAGCGCGUUUGACUUCGGAUCAAAAGGUCGUGGGUUCGACUCCCACUGUGGUCGAUGCUUUUUUUGUGUUCUUCAUUUUGGGCUUUCAAUAUUAUAUAGGCCCAGCCAUCGUUUUUUUUGUGCAAUAAGGUCAAAUACAUUGGAUUCAAUUUUUAAUCUCUGAAAAUGAAUCUUUUCGGUGUUUUUAGUAAUAUAUAAAUGACAAUGAAAAAAGAGGUUUUUUUUUUCCUUAUUGUAAUAAAUGAAUCUUCAUGAGGUUAUAUGAAAUUAAAAUAAUAAUAUGUAGGGACUGCAUAGCACUGUAGAUUAGCUCCUUUGACUUCGGAUCAAAAGGUAUACAAACAAUUCCUCUCAAAAAAUAUGAUAUAAAUAAUAUGAUGUCCUAGAACUUAAAAGAAAAACGAAUUAUUUGAGUUUGUUUAUUUGAACUUUUUAAUUAGUUCAUUUUCAUUGCGGAACUGACUGAUUGUCUUCCACUACAAUAAAUGAAUCUUUUCUUGUAGGAAAGACUAUCCGAUAUUUUCUUUAUAUUUAUAUAUAUUUAAAAGAAAAAAUAAAUAUUAAUAUAAUAAUUUUUUUUUCAAAAUUGUGUAUCCUUUAACAGAUUAACUACGAGUCUCAUUCGAAUUUGAUUGAAAAUGAAAAUUGGCUUUUAGUAUUAUUAGGCCCAGCCAUCCUUUUUGUGUGCAAUAAGGUCAAAUGCAUUGGAUUUAAUUUACUAAAGAGACCCUUUUUAAAUUAAAAUUACUUUUAAACCCAAAAACAAAAAUAAUUUUUUAAAAAUAUAUUAAAUAUAAUUAUAUAAAUAAGGGUUAAGAAUAUUUUAUGUAAUAUUUAAAUACAAGGUUUAUAAAUAUUUUUGUUGAAUUUUUUUAAAUAUAUAUCAUUAUAUGUUUAAAUUUAUAAUUGUUAUAUUUUAAUCAUAUUUAAAAUAUAAUUUAUAUAUUUAAAUUAAAUUUUACAAAUAAUUAAUAUUUAUAUCUAUCUAUAAAUAUUUAAAAUUUAUAUUUCACAUAUUAAAAUAUUUUUUUUAUUUUCGUACUAAAAUAUUAUAAUAUUAACGGAUUUGAAUAUUAUUUAAAUGCGCAUUUAAACUUCACAACAUUAUAUUUAAAAUUAACAUUUCAUUUCUAAAAAUUAUUUUUUGACGACAAUAUUCAACAUUCAAAAUUUAAAUUAGACUUUUCAAAACCGUGAUCUAAAAACAAUAUGAAAUGCAGUUUCUAUAAUUAAUGAGAAAAUGUAACAUCAAAAGUUUAGGGAAAAUGUUAGCAGGGUAAAAAUUUGGAUACUAAGAAGGGUUAAGCCCAUGUAUUACUAUCCAAGCUGGAAAGUGUAAUUGAAAAUAUUCAAACUAUGGCAUACUUAAUUAAAAAUAUGAACAUAGAUUAAAAAGUUAAGUAACUUACUUACCAUUUUAAUGGAUUUUUACUUUCACGCAAACAAGUUGCGUAUACACUUACAUUACAUUACAUUAUGUCUUACUCUAAUGAUUUAUUUUUAUGUAAAAACCGGUUUGGGAAAAAGAAAUUCUAAGUGAAUUUUUUUAUUGGCUUAAUGAUAAAUUUGAUCAUUAAUGUUUAUAUGGUUUGUUAAGAUAAUCCUAAUUGUAUUUUUGAGUUUUUUUGUCAUCAACCUUUAUUUUCUUUUCUUUUUUUUCAAAUUGUUUUCUUUUAACAGAUUUGAUGAAAGUACAGUUAAAAUAAUUAACGAGAUAAUGUGGAAUAUUUUUAAUGAGAUGUAAUUUAUUACUUAGAUAAUCUAAUAAAAUAAUUACAUGUGGAAAAUAAUAAAAUAAAUAAUUCAUGAAGUUAAAAAAAAAAGAUAUCUCUUAAUUUAAAGAAAAUUAAUGUAAUUAUCUAAAAAAUGUUUCAAAAUGAAUGCACGCAUUCGGUAAUUUUUGUUUGAUUUAUUAAUUAUCUUUCAGUAAACAAAUGUAUGUGUUCAUUUUGAAACUUUUUUUAGAUAAUAAUUUUUUUUUCACAUGUAAUUGUUUUAUUGGGUUAUAUAAGUAAUAAAUUACAUCUCAUUAGAAAUAUUUCACAUCGUCUCCAUUAAAAAAUUUUAACGAUACUUUCAUUAAAUCUGUAAGAAAAAAAAAACAGUUUGAAAAAUAAAAAACAAAAGUUGAUGAUAAAAAAAAGACUAAAAAAAAUACAAUUAAGACAAUUUUGAUAAAAUAUAUAAAUGGUAAUGGCCAAAUUUAUCUUUAAGCCUAUUUUUAAUUUUUUUCCAUGAAAUUUUGUUUCACCCAUCAACUUCAUUCAAACCUUGUAGAUUUAUGUAGGGUUUAAUAAAAAAAUAAUUUAAGUAGAAUUAUUAGAAUUGAAUUGAAUUCUAUCGAUUUGUAUUUUAUAAUUAAUUUUUUUUUGAAAAUAAAGAUUUAUAUUUAAAUAAUGAAAAUAACUUUAAAACAUGAUAUAAUGAAAAUAUUAUAUAUGAGUUAUAAUCUUAUUUAUUUUCUUGAAAACUUAACUUUUUUAAAGAAUAUUUAUGAAAAGCAAUUUUGAAAUUUUACCAAUAGCAUCUAAAAGUUAUAAAGCAAAAUUCUAUUUUGUCAAUAACCCAAAACCUAAAUAGAAAAAGCAAAAAGCAAAUCAAAGUGAAUUAUUAUGAAUAAUCUAAUAAUAUUAAAUAAAUUUAAAAUUUGAAUAUUGAAGUAUAAGAAAAUGGUUGAGAUGAAAAAAAAAAUGAAGAUUGAGUAGAAACUUGAAAUUUUAUACAAAAGUAAUGUUUUAUUGAAAAUUCAAGUAAUCUAAAUUCUACAAUGCUUCUACUCUAAUUUUUUUUUAUAUGUAUUUUAUAGUGUUGGAAAAUUAAUAUAUUAUUUCCAAAAUUUCAACUUAAAUUUUAAUAUGUUUUAUUGUUGCACACGGUCUCCAAAUAACUUUUAAUUUACCCUGAUUUUAAAUAAAAUCCUGGUUUUUUUUUUCACUUUUUAACAUACGGAUAUCCUUCACCGAUCAUUAAAAAAAAAUCUGAAAAUAUAAAACCUGCCUUUUACUACAAACAUCCCAAAAAGAAGGACAAGAAAGAAAAAAACAGUGUUUAAAUUUUCAUACUUAUUAGUUUUCUUACUCCAAUUUUAGAAGCUAUAUUCCAUAAAUCCACAGUUCUUAAAAAGAUUUUAUAUUUAUAAAAAAAUUAUUAAAAACACCUAUAUACUUUUAAGAUGUGGUUUUAUUAGCGUAAAUUAAAUAAUUAUGGUACAUCUUAAUCUAAUUUGAUGUAAUCAAACUAAAAGUAGAACACAGAAAAAGAUUCGAAUCUUCCCUCUCGAACAUUCCAUAAUAAAAUGCGAAUCUGAUGGUUGCAAAUUCAUUACACUCAAAAUUUUCCACCAAUAAAUUAUUCUCAGUUUGCUUCUGCAAUUUUUUUAACUUCAACGUUUUGCCAGCUUAUAUUCUUCAUAAACCUUAAACGACAUCAUUUUUUUUGCUCAUCUGCUUCUCUGCCUCUCUGCCGUCAAAUCUCUGUAACUCUACCGGAAAACUUCCAUUUCUUGUUGUCGGGAAAAGGGUAGUUGGCAGUUAAAACAGUUAAACUUCCAAAGGGUUCUUUGUCUUUCUUGGUAUCUUGUUUUCUUUUCUUCUUGGUGGAUAUGGUGAUGAAGGUAGCGUCGCCCGAAAAAGUUGUUUCAAUUACAGAGAAGGUAUGGCAGAGAGUUUACGGCGGCAUCAACAACAACGGCUAUUAUUAUCAUCAUCAUCGUAAACAUCGAAGGCGGUGUUCAUAUGAGAGUGAAGAUGAAUACGAGGAUGAGGAUGGAACCAUACAGUUGAUGCAGAUGGGUGCUGAACGAAGCAAGAAUGUGCUGAUUCUCAUGAGUGACACAGGUGGUGGCCAUAGAGCUUCAGCCGAGGCUAUUCGAGAAGCCUUUCGGAUCGAGUUUGGAGAUGAAUACAGGGUGAUUUGCUUGUUUCUAUCAUUUCUUUUUCAUCUGUUCAUCUAGAUCUACAAUUUAAUUUACCAGGUAACGGAUUUUCCUAUGUUCUUUUCAGAUAUAUGUGAAAGAUGUCUGGAAAGAAUACACAGGCUGGCCAUUGAACGACAUGGAAAGGUCUUACAAGUUCAUGGUGAAACAUGUACAACUCUGGAAAGUAACUUUUCACAGUACUUCUCCUAGAUGGAUACAUAGCAGCUAUCUUGCUGCCAUUGCUUCCUAUUACGCCAAGUAUGUUGAUCCUUAUUUCAACAUAAAUUUCAUUUUCUAAUUUCAUCACAACUUAAAUUAUGUUAUCUGUCAUUGAAGGGAGGUUGAGGCUGGUUUAAUGGAAUACAAGCCAGACAUUAUCAUAAGUGUACAUCCAUUGAUGCAACACAUUCCUCUCUCAGUUCUUAAAUGGAAAAGCCUUCAAAAGAAAGUUAUCUUUGUUACUGUAAUUACAGACCUCAAUACCUGUCAUCCCACAUGGUCAGUUCAUCAAAAGCCUGUAAACUUCUAGAUUUCCAUUUUAUAUCCAUGUUCCUUGAUAUCUUUAAACAGUUGAAAAUUCGGUUCAGGUUUCAUCCAAGGGUUAACAGAUGCUACUGCCCUUCAAAGGAGGUAGCCAAAAGAGCUUUAUAUGAUGGUCUUGAAGAGUCCCAAAUCCAGGUUUUUGGUCUUCCGAUUCGGCCUUCAUUUGCUCGUGCGGUUCUUUCCAAGGUUGAGGAUCUUACCAGACAUAACAAAACAAUCAAUCUUUAUAUCAUGGUCUUUUUUUUAUGCAUUCUUCUUGUCUAUGUAUUGUAGGAUGAUUUAAGAAAAGAGCUCGAGCUAGACCCUGGUUUGCCUGCUGUUUUGCUGAUGGGAGGGGUUGAAGGAAUGGGGCCUGUUAAGAAAACAGCCAUGGUUCUCGGCGAAUCAUUAUACGAUAACGAUCAAGGGAAACCAAUAGGGCAACUAAUCAUAAUAUGUGGCCGAAACAAAGCCCUUGCCUCUACAUUGGAAUCACUGGAAUGGAAGAUCCCAGUGAAGGUAAUUUCAUUGAACUUACCACAUGUAUGCAACAAACAGGCAAUUAAUGAGAAACAGUCAGUUAAACAAUGUUUUCCCUCCACUGCAGGUCAGAGGGUUCGAAACCCAAAUGGAGAAAUGGAUGGGAGCUUGUGACUGCAUAAUUACAAAGGUAAGAACCUAUAUUUGCACAUAUUCUUGCUUAAUAUACAUAGAUUAAUCUGUCUAAAUGAAAUUACAGGCUGGUCCUGGUACCAUUGCAGAGGCCUUGAUUAGGGGACUUCCAAUUGUUCUCAAUGACUACAUUCCAGGACAGGUUUAGUUACGAUUACUUAGAAGAUGUGCUUCAAUGGCUUCAACUUUUGCCGUCCUUAACCAUUACCCUUCAUUUUUUUAUUGCAGGAAAAGGGUAAUGUACCUUACGUAGUAGACAACGGAGCAGGCGUAUUCACCAGAAGUCCGAAGGAAACAGCAAGAAUCGUGUCGGAAUGGUUCAGCACGAAGACAGACGAACUCAAAAGAAUGUCGGAGAAUGCUCUUAAACUAGCACAACCAGAGGCCGUCUUUGAUAUUGUAAAGGAUAUCCAUGAACUUGCUUGUCAAAGAGGACCUUUAGCCAACAUUCCUUACGACUCAACAUCCUCAUUAACAAACGUAAUUUAAUAGAUAACCUCUACAUCUUCCAUAUAACUAAGAUUUGUUUUAUAGGUAAAGCUUUAUUCUUUGGCCACUAUGGUCUGCUGAAAAAGUGUGUAAAUUAGGUUAAUGUGAAAGUUGAAAAUGUUGUAGUGUUGCAGUUUUUUGGUUUGGUUUGGUUUCUUUUCACUUAAUAUGGCAUUACGUUUCUGCUUAAAGUUUGGUCUUUGAUAUUUAAGCUAAGGAGUAUAGUUUAAGUGUAAAACCAAAAGUCUGCUACACUUGGAAUGACGUUUUGUUCUUGCUUCAAAGUUAAGGCAAAAUUCUGAUUGGAGGUAAGCUUGCUUAAAUGAAUUAAUAUGUUAAAAGCUAUAAAUCAACAUCAUUUCCUUUUUAUUUAUUCAUUUUAAUUAAAAGCCAACAACCAUGUAUUUCCAAAAACACCACUUGCUUCUGUCAGUGUCUGGUAGAUUUUAAUUAUUAAUGCAGUGCUCAAAAAAAUACCUUCGUAUUCCUUUUUUUCUAUAUAUUUAUAUAAUUUUUAACACCUUAAAUAGUUUGAUAUAUUUGUAUAUUUGAAUAAUGUUGGUGUUUUUUUUUUUUUUUUUGGAAUUAUGCUUUAAAUUUUACUCUAUUUUUGUUCAGAAUCUUAAAUAAUAAGCAACAUAUCAAACACCAACAACCAAUGAUGGUUUUAUAACUUUGAAGUACAUAGAAAAAUUUAAUGGCAACACCCCAAAAGAAUGCAAAAUAUUAAUGGGGAAUGUCCCAAAAAGGACAGUAACAAAGGGAAAAUGCUAUUGAAGAGUUGGUUGGAAUCUGAAGGGGUACUGGUAGGUUUGACUCUUCAUUCAAAGGUAUGAUUAAAACCAAAGAAAAUGUUAUUUGAGAUGUGCAUGAAAAGAUUGAUAAUGAUGACCUCAAACAGAUUUACAACUUGUCAAUGGUUUAACAUAUGAGCUGUAUGCAUAUUUUUUUCUCCUCAGUUGUGUGAUGGCCAGACUGUUUUGACUCAUCAACCCCUUAACUUAACGGUGCCAGCAUGGCAGUGACAGGGACAUGAAACAGUCUGAAUUUGCAAUUUGGGACAUGAAUGAAUAAAUGGAUUUCUAUAUCAAAGAGGGUAAAAUAUAUAUAUCCAAUUGAAACCAGUAACAGAUAUUAAACAGAUAUACUUGUUGAUUGGUGAGUGACAGAUAUUAGAGGGUACCGCCGCUUGAAACUCCAUUCACAGGUGCUAAAAGUAGUAGGUAUAGACUCCGUUGUUAUCGUGAUGUUGAAAGAAUACAAUGUUUCCAAGAACUGAGAUCCAUGGCGGCAGCUCAUAAACGGCCCCAGUAAAGAAUAUUUUUUGGUUGAUUCCUUUCCCUCCACAUGUUGACUCCCAACGUAAACUCCAAAAACUGGUUCGCUGUACCCAUGACAAGCACGGAGGUGGUUGGAUUUUCAUGGGUUGGGUUGGAUAGGGUUGGAGUUGGCUUGUCUUUUUAUGCAUGAUAUUUAACCUUUUACAUAUUAUUUUUUAGUACAAUCAAAGUUUCUUUCAUAUUCAUUUUAUCUGAAGAUUAAUAUUUUCAUUAUAAUACUAUUAUCUAUUAUUAUAGAUUUAAUUUUUAUGUGGUAUAAAUGACAUAAUAUGUAAAAAUAAAAUAAAAUAUAUUUAACUAAUUUUAGAUUUAAUUUUUUAAUAUAAUCAAAGCUUCCUUAUAACCGUUUUUGUAACACCCCAAAUUCGGUCUAAACGUUAUGACUGAAUCUGGCGAUGUCACAUUGUAACACCCUUUACCCGUAUUCGACGCCGGAAUAGGGUAUGGGGCAUUACCAGAACACAUACAUUUAUAAACAUGUUAAACCGAGUUAUAAAAUUUCAUUCAAAUUUAAACUCUUCAAAUUUUUAACAUGCUUUUAUAAAUCUUCACGUUAUAACUUCAAAAUACUAUAUUUGUAACAAAUAACGCUUCUGAGACCCAAUACAUACUCAUGCAAUUCAAUACUUCAUUUCCAUUUCAUUUAAUUCACGAUUCUCAUGUUCACGACUCAAUUCAAUUUCUCAAUCCAAUAUACAUUUCAAUACCACAACCGUUCAUUUAAUUCACAUCAUAUCAUUUGCAAUUUCCAUUUAAUUCACGUACAAUUCAAUUUCAUUAAGUUCAAUACUAAUACAUAUUUAUCGUUUAACUUAACGCCUUUUUGCAUCAUUUUACACUUCAAGCAUGAACCUAGUAUUUCAUUUCCUUUCCACUCUUAUUUCCUAUGCAUAUCACACAAGAUAUAAACAUUACACUCAACCAUAGUCGCAAGCUAGUCUUUUUGAAGACUAACCACAUGAUAAGCCAUUUUAAUAAAGAUUACAAACUUUAAGCCUUACCACCUUUUUAUGAUCACAAGCAUAUUUCCAUCUAGACAUUUACCAUCUCAAUGCAUAGUUUUAUAAAUUUAAUGUGGCGUAAUCCAGCCACAACUUGGUCAAAGCCUAAGCAUACACACCAAACAUGCUAGCCAAAUAAACAUAUAGUAUAAGCAUUAUAAGCAUGGAUAAACACCACAUUUAUUAAUGUAUCAAACUUAUCAACAUGAGUUAAUCCAUAAACCAUUUCUAACAUUGCUACAUACCAAAUGAUAUACCAAGUAUACCACUUACACAUACUAUGAAAUUUUAUUUUCUCACAUGAACUUUAACUAUAACUAAUAAUGCACAAUUAUAACACACUUAAACAACAUUAACUACAACUUCACUAUUCAAUCACAUGUAUAUUCAAAGUUGUCUAUUCGAGUCAGAGUUACUAAAUUAUUUUUACUUGGACCUACAGAACUUCAAAUUAAGAUCUGUAAAUUUUCCCCAAAACUAGAUUCACAUAUCUUCUUACCAUAAAAUUUUCAGAAUUUUUAGUUUAGCUAAAUAGUACAGUUUAUUCUUUAAAGUUCCCUUGUUUCACUGCUCGACAGUUCUGACCUCUCUUCACUAAAAAUUAAUUAUCUCAUUGUACAGAAUUCAGAUAUUACUUCCGUUUGCUUCUCUUGAAAAUAGAUUCACUGAGAAUUCUAAACACAUAAAUUUUAUCCCAUAAUUAUUUUUGUACAAUUUUUGAAAAUUUUCCAAAGUCAGAAUAGGGGAUUCCAAACUCAUUCUGACUCUGUCUAACUAAACUUCAAAUAUUUCAAAAUAUAUACCUCUUUUGCUUGCUCUGUUUCUUUUAUGUGAAAAUAGACUCAUUCAGCUUCAAUUUCAUAUAUUAUUCAGCCUCUAAUUCAAUCUCCACCAUUUUUGGUUAUUUUUCAAAUUCACAUAACUGUUGCUGUCUAAACUGUUUUAUUGCUAAAUGUACUCUUUCAUAAUUUUACUUUUUCACUUUCAAUCACAAUUCAAUUCAAAAUUCACUUUUCCAUUUCUAAGUCGAUAUUCAAUUCAAUUCCACACCUAUAUUUAUUAUUCAAUUACACUUAGUCAAUUUCUCGAUGAACACUUCGGAAUAAUAACAGAUACUUGGUGAAUUCAGCACAUAGCAACCACCUUAUUAAUCAAUGAUGUCAGGUGGAAUCAGCACAUAGCAACCACCUUACAAAUAAAUGAUGUUCAGUUCACAUAGUAACCUGCACAUAGUACUACACAUGAGGCCAUUACCAUCCAAUACACGUAGUAGCCUGCACAUAGUACUACACAUGCAACCUAUCAUUCCGGUACACGUAGUAGUCUGCACAUAGUACUACACACGUAACCAUCACAUUCACUUUUACAUAGUGGCCUACACACAAUCCGUGCCACACAUGUGAUCAUUUCUGUCACUUCAUUCGUAUCCCUUUUUAUUCCAAAGUUUCAUUCGGAAAUUUUUCACUUUUUCUCACUUUUCUUUUUAUCGAUCAAUUUCAAUUUCUCGUCUUUCUUGAUUUAUAACAAUACAUUUAACUUAUAUAACCUUCACACUACUCAUUCCAGUCCAAAAAUCAUACUUUUGCAAAAUUAAGUUUUUCCCCUAAAGUUUCACAAAAUUACGAUUUUGCCCCUAAGCUCGUAAAAUAAUUUUUAUUCAAUUUCCUUGCAUUUUAGGCCUAGCUGAACCAUUUUCAUAACUAUAUCAGUCCAAAAUACUUACUUAUUCACACACUUGUAACAUAUUUUAUAACUUUUACAAAUUAAUCCUUUUAGGCAUUUUCAUUGAAAAUUACUUAGUACAAAUCGUUUAUCACACUCCAAACAUUCAUAUUCUUCCAUAAGACAUCAAAAUACAUGCAUAUCAUUCAUGGGUAAAUUUUUAAACACAAACCCUAGUUCAAAACAAUGGUAAAAAUAGGUAAAUCUUGUUAUGAGGAUUUCAAAAACGUAAAAAUCAUUAAAAACGAGAAUAGAACAAACUUACAAUCGAGCUUGGAAGCUUUAAAAACCCUGGCAAUGGUUUCUCCAUGCAAUUUUUGGCCUAGGGGUUGAAGAUAGACAAAAAUUGGCUUUUAAUUUUAUUUUUAAUUCAUUUUAAUAACUAAAUGACUAAAAUGCCCUUAAUGAAAAACUUUGGAAACAUGCCUAACAAUACCCAUUUUCGUCCACCAACUUAACCAAUGGUCUAAUUACCAUAUAAAGACCUCAAAUUUAAAAUUUCAUAACAAUUGGACACCUCUAACAUAUAGAACUCAACUUUUGCACUUUUUACAAUUUAGUUCUUUUGACUAAAUUGAGUGCCCAAACGUCAAAAUUUUCGAACAAAAUUUUCACGAAAUCAUUUUGUGAAAUUGCAGACCAUAAAAAUAUAAUAAAAAAAAUUUCUCGUCGAAUUUGUGGCCCCAAAACCACUAUUCCGACUAGCCCCAAAUUCGUGCGCAAUCUAGAAAAAUUAAUAUUUACAUUAUAGUAUUAUUAUAAAUUUAAUUUUUAUAUGGUAUAAAUUAGAUAGUAUGUCCAAAUAUAAUUAAUAUAAUAUAUUAUAUAAUUAGAAAACUAAUCAGAUUAAGCUCAUGUUGGCGUGUAAACUCAACUUUUGAUUUAAACAAUUCUAAUUUAUUUAUUUAAACUCAUUUCGUUCAACCUAUUUUUUUUCAAUCCUCAAAUAUUAAGCAAGAGUUUAUAAAUUAGAACGAGUCUAAAAUGAACCAACACAAACCCACUUCUUUGUUAAAAAUCCAAAAUUUUUGGGUUUUAACUGAUUUUUAGAUUUUCGAUUUUUUAAAGGUUUCAACUAAUUCUUUCAAUUUCUAAUUUAAUAAUAUGUUAUACCUGUAAUGACCUAAAUUUAAGGUAAUCGGAACAGUGGUUUCGUAACCACAAAUCCGAUUUAAAGAGAAAUUUAUUUUAAUAUUUUUGCAUGAAUAUUGAUAUGAUAGGAAAAUCGUAUAAAAUAUCGAUAGAAAAAUUUUACCGAUUUAGUGGUUAGUUAGAAAAAUAAAUUAUUGAAGAAAUUGGGUAAAAACAAGGUAUUGAGACCUCAAUCUCGUAAAACCGAGUCGAAAAUAUUUUUAUAAAUAUUUAUGAAAUGUUAGUAAUGUUGUAUUAAAAUUUCGUUAGAAAAUUUUAAUGUUUGGGUAGUCAAUUAAAUGAAAAGGACUAAAUUGGAAAAGGUGUAAAAGAGGCUGGGAUGAUUAAAUAGCUUAAGUGUCUAAUGAGGAAGGAUUUAAAAGGAAAUUAGACCCAAAAUUUAUUUGGUCUGGACGGCAAGGGCGUGAAAUUAGCAAGUAAAUGGAUGAUUUAAGGGAAAAAUUCGAAUAUUGCAUAAUAACUAAAUAAAAUUAGGACUAAUGUAGAAAUAUCUAGAUUUCUUGUGAUUUCUCUUCAUUCUCAUCAGCCAAAACGCCAUAGGAGGGGUUCUUUAAGCUGGUAUUUCAUAAUUUUUUCACCAAGUGAGUUUAAUCCUUGCCUUUUUGUUGUAAUUUUUGUAUUUUUAAAACUUUUACAACUAGGUUCUACUAUUAAAUUCAUUAGUUUUUGAUUUUAUGGAUGAAAUUGAAACUCACCAUGGUUGAGUGCUAUAAUUUUAUGAUGAAAUAGCAUGAAAUUAAAGUUUUAAUUUGUUUAUGAGAUGAUUUUAUUAGGUAAUUUCAAUAGAAAUUGAUUUUUAAGACCUAAUUGUGAAAAAGUUAGAAUUAAAGUCUAGUGCCUAAAUUUUGAUUCCCAAAGGUUAUAAAGUAGUUUAAAGUGAUAGAAUAAAAUGUUAAUUGAGAAAAAUCAGCUUAAUUGAGAGGUUAAUUGAGUAGGGAUGAAAUUAUCAUUUAUUAAAGCUUAGGUGAAAUAUGGUAAUAAACAUCUUGCACUAAAACAGUUUUGGACAGUAGGAGUAGACUAACUUUGAAAAAUCAUCAUAUAUUGUGAAAAUCUAAUUAGAGGAUGAACAAAAAUAUGGAAUUAAAGCUUAUUGAGUCCAGUUUCUCAUAGAAGAAACGAGAUAAGUAAUGGAAUUGUAAAUCAUGAGAUAUAAUAAAUUUUGUGAGACAAGGUUAGAAUGAAUUCGGAUUCCCCUGUUCUGACUUUGGAAAAUCAUCAAAAAUUGAAUAAAAUUAAUUAGGGGUUAAAAUUUACAUGUUUAAAUUAUUAAUGGGUCUAUUUUCAAUAGAAAUAAACGGAAACACCAUCCAAAUUUUUUACUAAGAGAUAAUUAGUUUUUAGCAAAGAAAAGUCGAAGCUGUCAGACAGCAAAAUAUGGGUAAGUUUGAAGAUUUUACUGUACUUAUUGGUUGAACCAAAAAUUCUGAAAAUUUUAUGGUAGAAAGGUAUUUGAGUCUAGUUUCAGAAACACCAAGCGGUUUUUAAUUUUAAAUUCUAUAGUUUGAGAUGUAAAUAAUUUAGUGAUUACGACUCAAGUAGACAACUUUAAAUGAACUAUGAAUAAUAGUGGAAUUAUAGAGAAUGUUACAUAUGAACAUGAAAUAUAUUAAAUUGAUGAUUAAAUUUAUUUAUUUAGAUCCAAAAAAUUCAAAUACAAGGCUAGAUCGAGAAAAGGAAAAAUUUCGGGAUUAGUAGAUUUUUGAAUACGAACAAGUAUCGAGGUAAGUUCGUGUAACCUGAAUUAUAUUCUUAAAUGCUUGAAACGUAUGUUAUUGAUGUGAAUAUGAUUUAAAUGUUCAUCGUAUGAAAAUUGAUGAAACAUUGAUAUAUUUGCUAAAAAAGGGAAGAAAUCUCAGUUGAAUGAAAGGAAAAUUCGAUGGAUCUUUAAAAAGGAAUUGACGAUAAAAAAAAAUCUAGCCCAGAUGGAUGAUCCUAUCCUGAUAUAGCCCUCCCGAAGAAUAUGUGUAAAAUGGAUUUAUCCCGGACGGGUAAUCCAAAUUAGGGUCUGAAUUUAGCCUGGACUAGUAAUUCAGAUCCAAGCUCAUUAGAGUAAAUUGUCGUUGCAGGGGAUUUAGCUUGGACUAGUAAUCCCGCUAUAAGGAUGAGGUUCGCGGGAGUGUGCUCUCUGAAAUGGAAAUGCGCGCACAUGAAUAUGAAUUGACAGACCUAGAAUAGUACACUAAAAGUGUACCUCUGAAAAUCCAUCGAAAUUCCAAGAAAUUUAAUGGGAUAAAUAUGAGAAAUAAUAAGGGUAAUAGAAAACAUGGAAUUGAUGAGUUCAUCAAUCAUUAAUCUUUGUAUUGAACUCAUAUGAUGCUAUUUGAUUAAUGUUUUGGUUGAGUUUGUGUGUGAUAGGCAAAUGGUAGAUUGAAUGGAUGUAUGAAUAUUUGUUGUAUUGUAUUGAAAAUAUUAGGUAAGUAUAAUUCUUGUUACAUGAGCUUACUAAGCACAACGUGUUUACCCUGUUUCCUUUUUCCCUGAUUCGUAGUAUUAAGAGCUCGGAGGUCAGAUUUGGUCGGAGACACAUCACACUAUCAACUUCAACAAUUUGGUAUAUUAAGAAACUUUAUUUUGGAAAUCAAUGGCGUGUAUAAGUUGAUAAAGUAAAUGUUAGUGUGGAGUAAAUGUAAAGUUAGCCAUUGGUAUGGUUAUCAAAUCCUAGUUUUGGCAUGUGAUGAGGUUAUCUUAUAGAUAUGCGUAAAUCUAUCUUAAAAAUAUGUUGAAUUGAAUUGGUUGAUUUGGUUUGAUAUCGGUGUAUGUUUUGGGCUCCGGAGGCCCAUCUAAGGGACGUAAUAAUAUGUUUCAAUAAAAGAAUAGUAUUUAACUCGUAAUAAUGGAAAAAUUAAUUUGGAAAACUCCGGUAAUGCCUCGUACCCUAUUUCAGUGACGAAUAUAGGUAGGGGGUGUUACAAUACCAAUCAUUUAAAAUUUAUAAUAGGAUAUGUGUUUAAAUAUAAAUGAAGUGUGCUAAUGAGAUAGAUUAUAGUGAAAAGAAAAACUAAUCCUUAAAGAAAUUAUACUACAUAUGUCUAUAUAGCAAAUUAUUAUAAAAUACUAAAAUUAUAUUUAUGUUUAAUAAAACCUACAAACCUAUAAAAGAAAAAAAAAACCUAUACGAAUAUCUUUUUCUUUUUUUUCCUAUUUUGGGCUUUGUAUUUCAUUCUUGAUGUAGGCCUUAUAGUUCGAUCAUAUCCAAACUUCAAUCGCUUUCUUAUGGUAAUGGAAGAAAGUCAGCCCAUUUAACUAGUCAAAGCUCAAAUUUCAAAGGCAGGAGAAAAUUUUGCUGUUGAAAAGCUUUUGUUGGUUGUAAGUUUGCCCAAUAUUUUUUCGUGUCUUUUCCCCAUUUCUAGCUAUAUGAUUGCAUGGCACCAACGCCCACCUGGUUCAUUUUUGCAAUUCAAGAUCACCCAGAAAAUUUCCUAAGGAAAAAAUUGUUGGUACAUCUCUUCUCCUGUUGUUAAACUUAAGCUAUUUACAUGUUUAUAUCUGUUUAUGCAUCAUAGAGAAUGAAACGAUUUCCCAUUCCUCUAAACAAUCUGCAUUAAUAUCAUAUUUCAUGGCUUCUCUAAUUUGAUGGGUUUGUGUGUUUUAAAGAUUUCAAGUCUUGCACAAUGGCAUUAUAAUGUAACCGUCUCAAUUUAGUAUUUAUCAUGUUCUUGAUAGCAAAUUUUCGUGUUUUUUUUGUGUGGAUAAAUCGUUACUGUUGAUUGUAAUUUGAUGUUGUGCUGCUGUUCUUUGCAGAAUUAUUUGGUUACCCCACUUUCCUUCUUGUGAAAAAUCCAAUUGCUUGAUUUCGUUUAUUUGCCAAAGGGAUUCAAACGAAAAUGGUAUCUGAAUCAAUCUCUUUCCUAUCAUAGCAUGUGCAUGCUACGGGUGAAAAGCAAAUUUUCCUUAGAAAGUUCAAUGAUAAUAAAGCUUUGGCUGGAAAUAGUAAAAUUUAGAAUAAUGAUGACGAUGAUGAUGGGUUUAAAAGUGUAGUUAUUUAUUAAUUAUUUUAACUUUUGGUUUUCUAGUACUUUUCUUAUCGAUGAGACGAAUUCAGUAAACUCUUAAAUAAUAGUACAGAUAAUUCAUAACAAUUUUAGUUAUGGUAACUUUUUGUUCAUAUUCACUUGGAAAUAAAUGAGGGGCAGGUUUAUCAUUCUACUUUUGCUGACGAGGAAGGAAUUACUAAAGCCUGUGGCUGCCCUUUACUUCCUUUGAAAAGUCGUAAAAAGGGUCCUGCUCCUGUUUCAGAACAAGGUGGGAUUUAUGUUCUUUAAUCAGCAUCAUUGUGUAGUUGUCCUUUUUCAAAUCUUUGAUUUGAUAAUUCAAGAUGGUAUUGUUUUGUUUGCAGGCAAAACGGAUAUAGUUGAUGAAGCCAUCACAUUCUUUCGUUGCAAUGUCUUCUUUAGGAACUUCGAUAUUAAAGGCCCUGCAGAUAAGCUCCUUAUAUAUUUGACAUUCUACAUAAAUCUGUCUCUAAAGAAGCUUGAAGGUUGUAGAACCUUGGCUGAGGGGUCUAAGGCAAUUCUUAACUUAGGAGUGGAAAAUGUUACCAUACCUGGUGAAUCUGGUUUUCCUUUUACAGGGCUCUUUUCUCUUCCACAGUCUCAACAGGAAGCAGGUAAAUCUCCUUAAUGUUUGCCCUUUUUUAUUUGGUACAAUAUUAAAUAUCACAUGCAUUAUUGAACUUCUAGUAUCAUGUAAAUUGUUGGUUUCUUAAAAUGCAGAACUGCUGAGGGAUUAUCUGAAGCAAAUAAGAGAAGAGACGAGUGGGAGACUGUUGGGUGUUGCAUAUAGGCCUAAUGGAACACCAAAUAAGUGGUGGUUAGCAUUUGCAAAAAGGAAAUUCAUGAACAUUGCUCUUCUUGAUAAAUAACUUUUUACAUGUGAUAAGCAUUCUGCAACAUAAAGUAAAAAGAACCAGUUCACUAAUUGGAAACUGAUGUCAGCAGUUGCGUAUUAAAACCAAAGACACUUACGUCUUCUACUGUAAAGUUAUUGGCAAUUCGUGCAUUGUUUUGUCUUUCUUGUUGGUUUCUGUACGUGGAUUCGAUUGAAAGAAACUAGAAUGGGUUUCAGUUUAAGGCCUAAUGGAGAUGGUAAAGCAUCAAUCAGCAGCAACCACUUUUCCGAAUGUUAAUUUGAUCUAAAGAUUCUAUAAAUUAACAAGCUUUUUCCUUUCUCUUUUUAGUUUUUUCUUUCAGCAAUGUAUAAAAUCAACAAGUUGCUGAAUGAGAAAUCUUUUCAAGAAAUACUGGGCACCCACAGCAUACAUUUUACCAAAUAUUUAAUACGACAGUUGAACUUGGAAAUCUUAGGAUUGAAUGCGAAAUGAUGAGAUUCCAAGCUUAAGGUGGGUUUGGAUGGUCAAUUGGGUGCGGUGCGGUGCGAUGCGGUGUGUUUUACUUACUUUUUGUCUCACGCUACAGUAUCGCUACAGUAUCUAAUCUCACCGCCACCGCUAUUUUUACACUAACCGCAGGUAAACGCACCACUCAUCCAAACUCACCCUUAGUCUAUAAUUGUUAAAAAUUGGAACUAGGUAUCAUUAGAAAUGGUGCUUCUAUUUCAAUAUAGUUAAAAUUAAACAUAUUACAUAUAUCUAUCUUCCCAAGCAUUAAAACAUAAUAAAAUUGAAUAAAGAAUCUGAAAUUGCUUUUAAUGUUUAGAAAAGUGUGAAUGAAGUAGACAUGUUUUAACUUUAUCGAGGAAGAUGGAAAAAUAGUGGACGCCCAAGGAAAGGUCAGCUACUAGAAAUUGAGUCGCUUUUGCAACUUACGUGAAACAAAUGCUACCUUGUAGGAAAGGACCAGGCAAGGCAAGUGCCUCCUUUUUUGGUUCAACCUACGUAAGUGCUUAGGGUAGCAUGUUCUGCUACGGUUUAUGUUUUACUAGAGUUUGAAUGAAUUUCAAAUUUAUACCACGAUAAUUUCUCUCAAACAUUUAAGUUGAAAAAAUAGUAUACACUUAAAUAUAUUCAAAUUUAUGUUGUCUUGCAUGAGACUUAAAAGACUAAAUGCACCAUUUGAGUUAUAAUAAAAAAAUUGAAAAAAAGCAUUAUACCAAGCAAUGAUUCUUGCACCCCUUUUGGAGGCACCAACACCCCCAAAAAAGUACAAAGUUUUAAUUUAUGUUUAUUUAUAAUUGAAAUAAAUUUUUUAUUAUUUAAAUUUAUGGUUAUAUUAUUUAAAGUUGUCAGGAUGCAAUUCUAGCUAAAAAUUGAAGUUUAAAAAUACUUUGCUAACUCCAAAAAGAGAAAAAGAAAAGAAGAAGCUGCUUCCUAAAGGCUAAAUCCUUUUAACACAAAUUUUUUAAGAACAAAGCUAACAAAUAAAAAACCAGUUGAUUGAAUGAAGAAUUCAAUUUUUAUCAACAGUUCAUUUACAACAACAAAUGGAUACCCAAUUUUCUAUGUACCAAACCAAAAGACCGCUAAUCAUAGAAAAAACCAAACAAAGACAAAAACAUGAUCAUUAAUCACUAAACAUGAACAUCAUCAAGGUGAAGAUCCCCACAAAACUUCAGCAAUUAUGGUAGCAGCCUCAGCAUCAUUAACAGAUGCUUCCCUAACUUUCUCCAGAAUCUCUGCUUUAAAAGCCCUUUUCUCCCUUUUCCUCAACCCUUCCCCAACCUCUAAUUGCACUGCAAACCUUGCCACACAGCUUGCAAAUGGAUGAUUCUCUAAAAAUUUCUUUCCCCUUUUCUGCCCCUCACUCUCCUCAUUCUCAUUUCCAUACUUUCCCAUCCCUAUCAAAUCACCACCAAAUUCUGACCUCUGCAACUCCACAAGUUUCUCUAUCAACUCCCCAUUAAGCAUCGCUUCAACAGCUUCUUUACGUCCAAAGUAACCAAUCUCAAGAAUGCAAUCAAAGACCACAACUUUCAUGCUCAAAUCUUUGGAUUCUAAUAAAGUUAAAAUCUUGGGAAGUCCUCCAUUGCAGAGUAUUUCAUCAACAAAUGGAGAUUUAAUAAAUUUAAUCAACUCACAUAGAACUUUUACGCUAUGGGCUGAUUUCAUCUCCAAAAGAGCUUGAAUUGUAUCUCCCAUAUUCACUUGGCCGACGAAGACAUCCUUGUUGAAUCGAAUCAAAGCGGCUGCACAAAACGCAGCUUUUUCCCUGAUCUGUUUUGAACAAUUCGGGUCGCAAAGCACUGUUUGUAAAACCGAAAAGGCUUUCGAUUUCAAGACUGAAUCCUGUAACUCGGGAUUAAACCCUUGUGAUACUCGGACUUCAAACUGACUCAGUAACCGAGCUAACUCGUCCUCGUCCUUCCACGGAUCUUUCAAAGCAUUUAUCAAGCUAUCGAUACUCCCACGAUCCAUCAAGGCUUGAACCUCGGACUCGAUCGAGCCAGCAACUCGAGAGAUGGAAUGAGUCGACACACGACGAGUCAAAAAACUCCUGAGACCAUAACCACGAUUCCUUUCUAGGGUUUCGACGAGGAUCUUGAGCUCAGCCAAGUGUCGGGAAAGAGUAGAAAGAUGUGGGUCUUUCGAGAUGAUCGAAUCGGACUCGGUUUCAAGCUCGAGAAGAGCUUUAAUGGGAGAUGAAUUAGACUGGACCGAUUUGUAAGUUGGAUGAGCUUGUAACUCGUGGGAUGCUUGUUUCAAAGCUUCGAGAAGCUUCAGAACUCCAGGGUCGUCUUCUUUGGGCGAUGAGUCUUCCAUUUUUUUGUUGCAGAUGAAGAUUUUCUUCUUUCACGGUUUACACAGAAACAAACAACAAUAGACUCUUGUUUUAGGAGGCGGCGAGAGUAUAAUGGAGAAAAGUAGCUCAACCACCGGUUUAUAUUCGAGCCGCUCGGGCUUUGUGAUUUUUUAUUUGUAAUUUUCCACGUGUACUUAGAUCGAUAGAAACCAUUAUUUAACACUAAUAAAGUCUUUUAUCCCUUACUCUAUUAUUUUGUAAAGGGUAACCACUUUUUCCGGUUAAUUUGGAAACUACUUUUCAUAUUGGUUUAAAUUUCAUUUUGGUCCAAGUUUUUAUAUUGAGAAUUAUUUUUUAUCUAAAUUAAUCUUUAAACUUAACAAUUAUUUCUAUAUUAAGUUAAAUUUUUUAGGUUAAUCCUUGAUAUUUUCUCGAAAACUUAAAAUCCAAACUUUAAUACAAGUUCAUAUGCUAAUUUGAACAAAGAAAAAAGUUGUUCGAUAUGAGAAUAAUUGCUUAGCUAGGCCCUAAAAUGAAAAUAAUUAUGAAGUUCAAAGAUUAACUAAGCCAAAAAAAAAAAAGGAACUCUGAUCCCAAUGUAAGAAUUGUCACCAAAUUUAAAUAUCAAAUAAUAAUUUAACCCUUUUAUAAAAUUACGUAAUUAAAUUAAUACUUUUUUUAUAUAAUAUUAAAGUAAAAUAUAGAAGUAAUAUAAUUCGAACUCAUAUCAAACGAGUAAUUGACAAUAAUUUUAAUCACGAUUUUAUUUAAAUCAAAAUAAUUGAAUAAACAUAUUCAUGUAUGUCGAAAUAAUAUCUUUCCCUGCACAAAAGAAAGUAUAAUAUAAGUUGAAUCCAUUAUUUUUCUUUCAGUACACUGAUACAUUAUAUUGAAUCCAAAUAAACAUGGAAUACACAGGAAUAUUUGGAUGGAUUAUUAUUUAUCUCAAAUAAAAAAUAUUAUUAAAUUGAAAAAUUAUUUUUCAUUUCUUGUUUGAUUUGUUUAUAUAGUUAAUUUGUAAAGAGGGAAAAUAAGAUCUUCAUGCCUAUUUCCUUUAGCUUUUAAAGAAGAAAGUUUUUUUAAAAUUUAUUUUUUCUAUGAUAAUCUAGACAUUUUAGUCAAAAGGGGGAAGUUAUGAGUCAAAAUUUGUCGAGUAAUUGGUUUGUUGGUUAGCAUUUAAUAAAAAUGAUAAAUAAAGCCACCUCUCUUGUCUUUCAAUGCUUAUUUUCCGUUUAUCCCCAUAAGUAAAGCAUUUUCUGUUUCUUAUUUUGACUUUUUAAAAAAUAAAAAUUUGAAUUUUCUUUUCAGACGCGCUUAUCACUAAAUCAAAUAUUUAAUUUAUUUUCGUGAAUUGGAAAGGUGAUUUACCUCCUCUUAAACGUUAGCAUAAUUUAGUAAUUAAACAUAUUUUCACAACACUUAAUAUUGUUGUUUUUAUAAUGCUAGUUUGGCAUAUUCGAAUCAAAAGAUAAUCUUGGCCCAAGAAUAUGAGCCACUUGUUCAAUUUUCCAGCAUGGAAAAAGAUUGGUUCAUCUUUAAUGUGGGACCCAACUCUAAUUUAUUAAUUGAAGGAAAGCUGGUCAUGUUUUUUUAAUUUUAUCCACAGCACAUUGAAUAAGAGACAGAAUGAGCCCCAACUUUGCCUUACUUUGGCUCCACAUAUUUCUACCCCCAUGAUAUUGUAAUAUAAAAAAACAAAUAUAUAUUUAACAUCGCAAAAGCCAAUAUUAUUAAAAUAUUCAAAUUAGACUUGGGCAAGGAGUAUUUUUUUUAUCUCAAAUAAACCUCAAAUUAAAUAGUAAAUAGUAUAUUAUAUUCAAAUUGGUAUAAAUAUAUAUUUAAUAUUUUUAUUAAUAUAUGAAUAGUAAAAUAAGCUAUCAAGCUAGACUAAUUUUGAUUUGGGAUUAAAAAUAUUUUUAAAAUUUGAUCGUACCACAGCUUGACACAGUAAACAAUUCUAAUUACAUGUUAAUUUAUUUCAUGUGUCUAUUUUAUUUAGUAUAUUAUAUUAAGAGAAUAUUAUUAAAUUGUUAAUAUGAUUUAAAUUUAAAAUUUAACAUAUAUUUGAACACAUAAAUAUUAUUUUUUAUGAAACAAUUUUCCACAUUAAUAAUUCCAUUAAUCAAAUAUAAUAAUAUUAAUUAAAAUAUAAAAAAUCGUAAUUAUUUUAAACGCGUAUUCGUAGUCAUUUAAUAAAUACCCAAAUUCUUGCAGUGUGCCCCAGCCAUCAGCCAUUAUUCUGUGGGCUAAAUUAAAUAAAAAUAAUCGGGUUGAAGUUAGCCUAUCAAUGGGUUAGCUCAUCCAAGUGAUAUAAAGCCCAUUACACAAUGCUUAUUAUUGAAAAAUUAUCUUAUCUAUAAUUAUAAGAUUUUUUUUAUUUUUUUUAAACGAAUUAACAGCACAUUAAUUCUUAGAAUAUAUUUUAAAUAAAUUAUAAAAAAAUUAAAUAAUAAAAAAUCGAAAUAUGAGAAUGAAAAAAAACAAACACAAAGAGUACAAUUUUUUUUUUCGAUUCGUAUUAAAUAUUUUGUUUUGAUAAAUAAAAAAAAUUGAACAAGAAUAAAUCACAUGACCAACCGCUGAAAAUAUCCGAUCUUUUAUCGCCACAUGUUCAAUAUUAGAAAAUGAGACCAGCAUUCCAUAAGUGGUCUCAGAUUCUAAAGUAAGCCACCUUGGCCCUUGCGGCAUGUCCUUUUAGGGUAAAAACUUCAUAAUACAUCACAAUAUUAUACCCAACCAUUUUUAGUCCACUGAUCAUCAAAAAUUAUAAAAUCAUCACUCAAUUUAUUACAUUUAUAUUCUUCUUCAAUCGCAUACUUAGAUUAAUUUUAUGAUGAAGAUGAUUUGAUAGUUCUAAAUAGAAAAUCAUUGUUUGAGGAGACGAAAAACUUACAGAAGCAGCAGAGGAAUUUUAAGGUUCUUGGAUUUUACGAAAGAGUCGAGAUAAAAAAUUCCAUAUUGUAAUGAUUUUGUUUUCUUUUUUGCAAAACACACCGAUAUAUAUGAUUCUAAAAAAAUUCAAAACUAUAUAUUACGAAGAUGGUUUAAAGAAGUGUGAUAAAUUAGCUCUUAUAUAUUUUAAAAUGGGUAAAUUUAGUUUUUCCAUAAAAAAUUUCUAUUAAACGAUGGCAUGGAACAUGCUAAAAAUUAUUUUUUAUGCAUAAACUAUAAAAGUGGUCACCUAAUUAUGCCUUCCGUUCUAUUUUAGUCACUCAACUAUUUUUUUUGUCAGUCUUUUAAUUUUUAUAUAUUCUAUCAAUUUGAUCCAAAUAUAAAAAAUUCAACAAAUUUAUCCCUUAAUGUUUACAGAAUUUGUCAUUUUAGAUCCAAUUCUAAAAAAAACAAAAAUUUUGGCUCUUAAUAUUUACAAAAUAUGUCAAUUUUGUUUUUAACUCUAUUUUUUAUUAGAAAAAUCAUUUUUAGCCCUUUUUAACCCGUCAGCUAACUAGUGCUCGCAACGGGAUGGGGUAGGGUGGUCUUUUGCCCACCCGACCCUGUCUCGAUGCUCUACUCCAUGCCUUGACCCAAUCCCAACUUUAAAAAAUUUAACCCACUUUGAACCUAGACCUGAAAAUUAAUAAUAUACCCAAAUUCUAUAUGAUCCGACUUGAAUUUAAUUUCAUUUAGUUUUUUUUUUUGUAAAAAUAUGAUUAAUUAGAUUUGAUUAAUGAUUUAUCUCUAGAGUUGUGUGCUAAUGUAUAUUCACACACAUGUUGUGAUUACAAUAAAGAAGAAAAAGAAGGAAUAAAGGUUCAUUUAAUAAAUUAUUAAAUUAAGAAGAUAGAAAAUGGGGAAAAUAACCUUAGAAGGGUGAAAGGGGACUAGUAUAGAUGCAGUGGUGGUAAAAUGAGACUAGUAGUGAUAAAUUUUGGAUUUUUAAUUUAGUUAAUAUUAAAUAUGUAUAAAGGGUAAUUUCAUAAAUAUAUCGGGCGUGGCUAUUUCAUUCUAAAUUUGGUCCCGACUUAACCUGAUUGCUUUUAAAAAUUAACCAGCUUCGACCUUGACUUCAAGAAAAAAACCCAACACUAUCGGGCCGAAUCAGCUCGGAAUCCAUCAGAUUCAGAUUUUUUUUUGCCAUCCCUACAACUAUGGAUAUUAAAAAAAGAAAAAUAUUACCUCUUUCAAGUCUCUCUUGCAAAACAACUCUUAAAAGUUAGGAUAAAACACAAAAAAAUUAAGAUCUAAAUGAAAGUAAAGGCGUUUAAAACGUUAUCUCUUUGGGUAGUAAUGCCAAAUAGGUUCCAAAUCUAUUGAUUUGCCCCAAUAUGAAGCCUAAAUUAUUGUAAAAGAAAUUGUUGCAAGUGACUUGAAAGAGUAUAAUCUUUUUCUUAUUUUAAUAUUUCACAUGGGUUAGCCGAUGGGUUAUAAAUGAUUAAAAAUAUAUUUUUUAAUUUUUAGAGUUAUCGCUAACUUGAUAGAUUUUGUAAAUGUUGAGGGCCAAAUGUAUUAAUUUCUUUAAAAUUACAACUAAAAUGAUAAAUUUUGUAAACAUUGAGAGCUAAAUUUGUUGAAAUUUUUAUAUUUAAGAUCAAAUUGAUAGAAUGUGUAAACACUAGAGGGCUAACUUUAUUACUAGACCAAUAAGAAAAGGCCCACGUUAGCUUAGAUUGACUAAAAUAUUUAAUGUCGAAAAGUUUAAUGAUCAAAUAAAAAAAAUAAUAGUUGGAUGUUCAUUUUUAUAGUUUACUCAUAAAAAAAUAAUUUUCAGCACUGAUUUAAUGUUCCACGUCAGUAUUUAAUAGAAAAAAUUUUGCAAGUUUCAAAAUGUAUAAGAGUUAAUUUGCUCAAUUUCUCAGUAGAAGGACUGAAAUGCAAUCUGCCCCUGAGUAUAGGGGCUUCCUUGGUUCACUCGAUGCCUAUAUGAUAGAAAAGCAUAAUUGGUUGGUUGGUGGCACUUCCAUUGUACGCUCGCAAUUUCCUUCCUCUUUAACCUGUCUUUUCCUUGGGAGCCGGUCAUCAAACGUGAAACCGGAAGAUUCCUUUGUUGUAAUUUUGUCACUUAAAGAAAAUCCACCAUUUUUAUCUGAUUCUAAACCACACCCACGUCAACUGAAAAAGGAAAACGCUUCCCCACAAGUAGAUGCUUCCUAGAAAAUUCAUAUCCAAUCUUUUAAAAAAUCCCCAUGGUAAGUGUAUCAAGUUUAAUAUAACACAUGGAAAAUCACAUUUUCUUUUAUCAAAUAGCAGCCGCCAUCAUUAAUUGGUUACUACAUAUUACACAUUAACAUGCAAAUAAUUUUCUAUCAAUAUUACAUAUUCCAAAAAAAAAAAAAAACGAAUUUGGAUCUUUAUUUGCGGGAAAAAAUAAAUUUAAUUAUUUUUUAAUUUGACUCUAAAAAAAUAUAAGCAGGAGCAAUGUAUGCAGCAGCUGUUUUAACUUUUUCAACAGCUAUAAAUUGAAGGAAACACCCAACAAGUCUCCAAAUAUUCACAAAAGUAAAUUUCAUACAAAUAUUUAAUAUGUUUUUGUGGGGUAUAUUAUAUGACAUAUUUACCUACCUAUACGUAUAUAUGUGCAUAAAUUAGAUAUUAUAUCAAAAUCAAACGCUCAUGAUAGCUUAUAUAAUUAAAUUUUUUUUCUCUAAAACAAAAAUAAUAAUAGUUAUUCAAAAAUUAAUUAAUUACUUGCUACUUAAUUGAAGGGAUAAAUUAUAUGUUAGUACAUAAAAUUAAAUCAACAAGCUUCUUUGGUGUGACAUUAUUGAUACGAUUUCGGAAAACAUAAUUAAAAAUAGGAUUAAACAAUGGUAGUUCAUGUAUGUUGUAAUGCAUCAUUACAAUAAUUAUAUUGUUACUGUUACAUUAGGUAAUCCAUCCUUUUCGUUUUUUAUUGGUUCUGUUUUGUGGUAAGUGGAGGUUUCCCACGUGGAAAUAUAAUUUAGGGUUUGGAAUAUCAUAAUAUAUUUAUUUUAAAUAAUUUUAUUUGACAAUUCUUAAUUUCAAAAUCUAGAAGUUGGUCAUAUAUUAUUUUUAAUUUUUUUGAUAACGUUCCACACAGCUUUUUUAGGGUUUUUUUAAUUAUAUAAAUGCAUUUUAGGAUCUAAAUGCUUUACCAACUCUAAUGAAUAUUUUUUAAUAAAACACUAACAUUUGGUAUACCAAAUGUUUAAGAAUAAAAUAUAUUCCUCUUUCUAAAUAAGGAUUAUUAUUUGAUACAUUAAUUACGGAGUAUUUUAACUUCACAAGUGAAGUUAAAAAAAUUAUGAUGUGUCUAAUUUAUGAGAAAUUAUUUGGUACAUUGUUAAUGAAAUUUUUAGACUCCACAAAUAGGAUUAGGGGUUAACAAAUAUCCUAUAUGGGUAUGAUAAAAUAUUAAAAAAUAAGACGCAUAUCAAUUUUUUACGAUUGUUUAUGGAAUAAAAGGAAGUACAAUGUUAUUGUAUCAAAUAUUAAUUUUAGGCAAUAUAAAACAUAAAAAAUCAGUUCUUCUGAAAACUUGUUUUAGCGGAUAAGAUUAUUACAGAAAUGACUGACUAUAUAAUCCAUCAAUAUUUUGUAUUUAAAAAUUAUUCAUUCUUAAUUAUUUGAUAUUUAUAAAUAUUUUUAUAUACAAAUAUUAAUGUCUUAAAAAAUAUUGAUAGACUCAAAUUUCGAAAUAAAUCAAUCUUUGAACGAUACUAGUUUCAAUAAAUAAUAAUACAUCGAACCCCUAGUAUUGACUAUCUUACUUAUUGGUGUUUACACAAAUCUUCACCAUAAAAUUUAUUUUAGUAUGAAUAACAAAAAUGAAAAAGAAGAGCUGCAAAACCACGUCGGACAGAGAUAAUGAAAACGAUGGAGAUUAUUUUAUAUUAGAGAAAGGGAAAACACCACGGUGGCCUGGGACUGAUAUUUAAGACGCACAAAAAUAUUCUGUGGGUGCUGUGCCUUGUGUCUGAGGAUUUGUCAGCGCAAAGACGUCAGAAAGGCAAAACGCCCCGAGCCCCACUGCUCACAAACGCGAAGUUUCCAAGUCCGGACGUUGACGGCGUUGCUCGCAUGCAGCGAUUGAUUGUCUGAUGCUGAUUUCCAUUCCCCGUCGUCUCUUGUUUGUUUGUCUCCGUAAUUAGCAACCCAUAUAAUCCCAUUGGCCCCACUCAUUGGCCAUUAAUUAUUUCUUGACAUUCUUAAAAUUUUCAAAAUAUUACAAUAUUUCUAUUUAUUAAAUUAAUUCAUUAUUUAAUUUACGAACCUCCAAAAUAAUAAUGAUAAGAAACAAAAAUAAAUGUAUUUUUAUAAUGAUUAUCACCUUAAUAUUUAAAUCACCACUAUACCAUAAUUUAGAAAAAUAGGAAAUUAGAAGAGCAAAACAUUAUAUAUAAUAAGAAGAAAGAAAAUAUAAAACAGCGCCCCCAGUUGAGUUCGUCUCUAUAACAAACUCUUCAUUCUCUGCGGGAGCAAUAUUAUGUAUGAUUUGCUUUCCAUUUUAUAUUUUAAUUCUGAACCGAAAUUCAUCUUUUCGUUUUAGAAUAGGUUCCACCCGGCGGAACGCCGCAACGUAACGUCAUGUCAGAGAAUGUGCCACCGGUGCAAACCCAAAGCCAAGACCCAGAUCAAGAGCACGACCAUGACCAUGAAGCUCUCACCAGUCCUUUACUCCCUCAUUAUCAACGAGCCAGUAAUUCUACCUCUCAGCUCGCCAUCGUAGGUGUCAACGUCUGCCCUAUUGAAAGCCUCGACUACGAGUAAGCUACCCGUUUACCCGGUGAUCAUAUAUAUACAUAUAUUCCGCCAUUGGAUUUUGGUUUCUAAUUGCUUCGGAUUCUUGUUUUUUUUUUUAAGGAUUGCGGAGAAUGAUUUCUACAAACAAGAUUGGAGGGCACGUGACAAGAUCCAAAAUUUUCAAUAUAUUUUCAUGAAAUGGCUUCUCUGUUUCUUGAUUGGCUGUAUCGUCAGUGUCGUUGGUUUCUGUAAUAAUCUCGCCGUUGAGAACAUCGCCGGCGUUAAGUUCGUCGUUACAUCUAACAUGAUGUUAACUGGAAGGUCCCUUUCGCUCUACUUUAUUUAUUGAUUUGUUUUUUGAAUUUCUGAUUGGUUAAAUUUCAUUCAUUAGUGUUUCUUUUUUCUGUUUUGACGGGAACUAAUUUGCCCCAAACGUUUAGAAAACUUUUUCCGUAAAUUUUAAUUGUUUAUAGCGAAAUUCUUACAUACUCCUAGUAUAUAAUCAAACUUUUUUUUUUGUAGGUAUGAGAUGGCUUUUCUAGUAUUCUUUCUAUCAAAUUUAGUUUUAACUCUAUUUGCCGCCAUCAUUACGACAUUUAUUUCGCCGGCGGCAGCUGGCUCUGGUAUACCGGAGGUGAAGGCUUACUUGAAUGGUGUAGAUGCUCCGGGAAUAAUUUCACUACGAACUUUAAUUGUCAAGGUAUUAGAAAAGAAAAAUAACUUACAAAUGCAAAAUCCUUUGAUGCAGAGCUGAAGAGCUAUAUUUUCCCCCCUAAGUUUUAAAUCUAUUUGUGGUUCUCAAUUCUAGUCAAAAUUAAUCAUUAUUGGGUACAGUGAAUGCGUAAUUAAUUAUCGAGUUAUAGGAUUUUGUAAUUGCAAAGUUUUACGCAUAAUAUUUUUUUUUCACUUAAAGAGUAGCGAGGAAUUGAGAAGAAACAGUUUUCUCUUCUUUUUUUGUCAUUUCGAUGUAGAAAUCUCAUAAUUGGGUGAAGUGUGCAGAUUAUAGGAAGCAUUUCUGCAGUGUCGUCAUCUCUGCUUGUUGGAAAAGCAGGGCCUAUGAUGCAUAUCGGUGCAUGCAUUGCAUCCUUAUUGGGACAGGGUGGGUCAAGAAGAUAUGGUUUAACGUGGAAGUGGAUUCGAUUCUUUAAGAAUGAUAGAGACCGACGAGACCUUGUAACUUGCGGAUCAGCAGCUGGAAUUGCUGCUGCUUUCCGUGCCCCAGUUGGUGGUGUGCUGUUUGCUCUUGAAGAAAUGGCAUCUUGGUAUGUAAAUUUAUGCAUGCAUUUGGAGCACAAUGUUUGAUACCUUAUUAACCAUCUGUUCUGUUUGUAUUGUUGGUUUCUAAAUUGCCUUCAUGAGUGUUUUUAUUCCAUAGAUGGAAGGCUGAACGGAUCUGGGGCCAUUAUAGACAGUAACAUGUUGUGUGAUAUAUCUCUUCAAUAUCAAUUUUCAGCUACUUUAUUCAUAAUCAUUACUAAGGUUGAAAGGCAAAAUGUGAUUCUUUUGUACCCUUGAUAUGACAUAUUUUACUUUGAGAAUCACCAUCCUUUCUUUCAUCAUCUCUCUGACAAGAGAACUGAUAAAAGUUGAUAUAUAAUGAUUAUAUCCUGGUAUUGUUCUACAGGUGGACAAGUGGCCUUCUUUGGAGAGCUUUCUUUACGACUGCUGUGGUUGCAAUCAUACUUCGAGCUCUAAUUGAUGUUUGUUUAAGUGGCAAGUGUGGGCUAUUUGGUAAAGGGGGUUUGAUAAUGUUUGAUGUCUAUUCAGCAAAUAUUUCGUAUCACAUGGCAGAUGUUCCUCCUGUACUUCUUCUUGGUGUUGUUGGGGGCAUUUUGGGAAGUUUGUAUAAUUUCCUUUUGGAUAAGGUUCUCCGAGUUUACGCCAUCAUCAAUAAGUAAGUUUCUAUUUUCGGAUUUGUGUUUGUUUGCACCAAUUACCAUUUCUAGUAUCUGGUAUAAUAUUAUUUACUGGGUCAUUCUCCUUGCCUUCUCGUCUCAGGAAAAGCGUUAGUUAUAAAAUUUUUAUCGCUUGCACAAUCUCCAUUUUUACAUCCUGCCUGCUUUUUGGAUUACCAUGGCUCGCAUCUUGCCAACCAUGUCCCUUGGAUUCAACCGAAGACUGUCCCACAAUAGGUCGAUCUGGUAACUACAAGAAAUUCCAAUGCCCUCCUGGUCACUACAAUGAUCUUGCAAGCCUCAUUUUCAACACAAAUGAUGAUGCUAUCAGAAAUCUUUUCAGCAAGAACACUGACGCUGAGUUUCAGCACUCAACAAUGCUCAUUUUUUUUGUCACCUGCUUCAUUCUAAGUAUUAUUAGCUACGGGGUUGUUGCUCCAGCAGGUCUUUUUGUACCAGUCAUAGUUACUGGAGCAUCUUAUGGUCGCUUCGUUGGGAUGUUAUUUAGUUCUCACACAAAUCUUAAUCACGGUCUUUUUGCUGUGCUUGGGGCAGCUUCAUUCCUUGGUGGAUCUAUGAGGAUGACAGUUUCCUUGUGUGUCAUAAUCCUGGAAUUGACCAAUAACCUAUUACUGUUGCCAAUGAUAAUGAUUGUUCUUCUUGUUUCCAAGACUGUAGCUGAUGCUUUUAACGGCAACAUUUAUGACCUUAUUAUGAAAGCAAAGGGUUUCCCUUACUUAGAAGUUCAUGUCGAACCUUAUAUGAGACAACUCACGGUUGCAGAUGUUGUCACUGGCCCUCUUCAAGUCUGUCAUGGAAACGAGAAGGUUGGUAAUAUCGUACACAUCCUCAAGACCACAAAUCAUCAAGGGUUUCCGGUUAUCGACGAACCUCCGCAUUCUGAAUCCCCAGUUUUGUAUGGUUUAAUCCUCCGUGCUCAUCUUAUUACACUGCUAAAGAAGAGAGUUUUCUUGCGCACCCCUGUUCGAAUAGGUUCUGAUGCCUUCAGACAUUUCUCAGCAGAUGAGUUUGCAAAGAAGGGCUUAGGUAAUGUUGACAAGAUAGAAGACAUAAAAUUAACUGAGGAAGAGAUGGAAAUGUUCUUGGACCUGCACCCUUUUACCAACGCUUCACCAUAUACAGUUGUGGAGACAAUGUCACUAGCUAAGGCAAGUACACUCUUCCGUGAAGUCGGUUUGCGGCACCUGCUUGUUAUACCCAAGAGAACCACCGUAAGUAACUUAGCCAUUUUUAUUUUCCUUAACCUUAAUGUCUUCUGAUCUAAAAGUUCAUUGCAUUUCUAAUGCUUGAUGUUGUGACUGCAGGGAUCACCUGUGGUUGGCAUACUAACAAGGCACGAUUUCAUGCCAGAACACGUACUUGGUUUGCACCCAUUAUUGGUAAAUAGCAAGUGGAAACCAUUAAGGAUUGCAUUGCCACGUUUUCUUAAAAUAUUUUAGGGUGGAGAUCUACUCAUUCGGUAGUCGUUCUAGAUUGGGGGGGGGGGGGGCUUACCCUAAAACUAAGUUUGUAAAUAGUCUUGCUGUAGCCCUUCAUGGUUCAAUAGCUUUCUUUUAGCGUUUAUAUUUUCACAGCAUAAAGUUGUUGUAUCAAUCUAGCCCUUCAUUGCAGUAGUAAGUAGCAACGAGGGAAAUCAGGGAUGGUUCAACCUUCAAAAAUUUUUGCUUUGUUGAAAUUUAUUGCAUGCAGAGUUCCAUGCACUAAUAAAUUAGUAAGGCGCCCCUUGUGGAAUAGCUUUCAAAAUUCAUUGUUCUUUAAGGUUUGGUCUAGGCUAAAAGAAAAUCUAACCAAAAGUUAUAUAAACGAAACGUUAAAAGGUAAUCAUAAUAUAUAUAUUCUACUAAUUAAAACAAGAUAAUUGAAAGUGAUAUAUAUUAUACAAAUCCUCUUCAUUGUUACAGUAAGCUUGAAAAUAGGGGUAAAAGAAAGGUAAAAACACCAAAAAGACAAGAAAAAGCUAAUAAAGGUGAAUUUUAGUACUGUUUAGUCUCUCGUGCUAGCCUCGCCUUGAACUAAUUUUAAGAUAGUCGGCCCUUAUCCCCCACAGCUCUUCUGCCACAGAUUUCAUUUGAGGUCGGUCAUUUCUAGUCGGUGCUGCACAUUGAAAUGCCAAAGCAAAUAUAUUGGUUAAUAUAUUUGCAUCUACAACUUCUUCCAUCAUACAAUCCACCAGUUCAGCUACAUGCCCUUCAUUAUACUUAUGGAAUGCCUGUACGUAUACAUCAUGCAAGUUAUUAAAAGCAAACCCUGAAUAACCUGCUUGUUUUUUUUUUUCUGUAAUUUAAAGCAAACACGAAGGAACAAGCUUACCCAUAAAAGAGUGACACGCUCUUCGACUGGUCUUCUUAACUCCACUGGACGACGGGAGGUCAAAAUUUCUAUAAGUAAAAUCCCAAAGGCAUAAACAUCACUCUUGGCUGUGAGUUGAUAAGAUUUCAUGUACUCGGGAUCAAGGUAACCAACUGUUCCUUUCAGUUGAGUUGAAAUAUGGGUUUUGUCCGAGUCUAUUGGACCAACUUUUGCAAAUCCAAAUUCAGCCACUUUAGCUCGCAUGCUUUCUGUAAUAAGUAUGUUGGAUGAUUUCACGUCUCGGUGAAUAAUUUGCUUCCCUAAUUCAUCAUCAAAACAAUAAUUAGGCAUUGUUUUUUUUAAUCUAAAUUUUUAUUUUACUAUUUCUAACCUGCAUAAAGAUGGAGAUAAGUAAGGCCAUGAGCAACAUCGAUGGCGAUUUCAAGACGCUGAUUGAAAUCCAGGAUUUUGCCACGCUGACCUGCCAUAAAUAGCAGUAAAAAUAUACUAUUAUUGACCAAAAAAAACUUGUUUGGCAUUAAUGACCAUCAAGAGGCCUUACCAUCCAAAUGAUCUCUCAGCGUGCCAUUUGGUACAUAUUCUGUAAUAAUAAGCCGUUCAUCCCUUGUAUCCACAUAACCAAGUAGCUUCACGAGGUUCCUAUGAUCAAUCUUGGGUAAAAGUUCAACUUCAUUACUGAACUCAGUUUGCAGAUUCUCAAAAUGUUCCUACACAAACACAAAUACUCUUAUGUCAACUAUAUAGCAUAAACUAUACUAACAUAACGAAAAAAACCCUUCCAGCAUUGCCCUGCCAGUCAAUAAAUAGUAUCUCUCCACUCACCUUCUUUGCUCUUUUAAUAGCAACCACCUGACCAGAAUCUAACACGGCCCUGUAAACGGUUCCAAACCCUCCUUUACCGAUCCGAAGCUCCGGUGAGAAAUUACGGGUAGCUCGGGCUACCUGUUCUAUACUGAGAUGCAAUGAUCCCAUUCUUUUUAGUUUCGGAGAUGUUGACAAUACCCAAGGAUUAACGGUUUCCGAAGGAGAAUGGGUUUUCAUUUCCAAAUGAGAAGCAGAACGAACUGCAACCACAGAAAUAAACAGUGUGGAUCCUUUGUAAGAACUAUGGUUUCCAUGAACUGCUAAAAUAGACCAGAUAAAGCUUAAGGCUCACUUGAAUUUGUAUACUUUGUAAGAACAGCGUGGGCAGUUGCUCUCUUUCUCCGACAAACACUGCAACAGAGAUAAACACAACAUAUCAAAAGAGUUCCAGCUGCUGCUCCUAUCCCUAUUAUUGUCCCGUCCGAAUAUUUUCUGAAGGGUUUUUUAGGCUUCCCCUUCUUAUUAUCAGGAUGAGUUCUGACUCUAUCAUCUCCUUUCUCUGUUUCCUUCAAUAUUUUUCUUCCUAUAAACAAAAAUCAGCUGUCAAAAACAUAAUCCAUUGAUGAAAGCUCAAAGAAAUACUUUUUGGAGUGUAAAAUUAGAUAUAAAUCAUUACCGGAUGAAAGGUUCGAACCACAGUCAUUAGUUGCAGUGAAGCCUUCAAACACACACUCGUCUGCAUAGUGUAACUGCAGGGUUUUGCAGAACAAAACUUUAUCUACUAAAUCACCGUUCAAGUAAAACAAUUCAUGACCAUUUGAAGUUGAAUAAACUAUAUGAUCUGUGCCACAAAUCUUGGACUUCACUUGGAUGGAUGAGGCGAAGAAUGUUGAUAAUUGCAUAAACAGCAGUAGACUAACCAUGGAAGCAACCAUUCUUGAAUGAAUUAAUGCACUCAAACUCUCAUGGAAAUGAAAUUACAAAACAAGUAUCAUCCUUCAUCAUUUGGAAGGGAACAUGCAACAACUAAAACCAGUGGCGUCCCAUUCCCAAUACAAGGAACCAAUGAUAUUUCAACAAUCAUGGAAACAAAAAUAUCAAUGGGUUUCUCUUUUAUCUACUAAGUUAAAAAAAAAAAAGGAUAAUAAUAAAAGAAUUGAGGCAACAACAAGGAAAAGAUGCGACUAGAAAAGGGCUGCUGCAGCAAAGUUUACCAAAGUCUUCACGGUUGAGUUGACUGAAUCCCUGGCUAGAUCUUAUGGUCUAUAAAUCUUUUGCUAGCUGUUUUCCAUAAAACUAUCAAGUGUCUAAAAUUUCUUAUAAUUUUUGUUUUAUUCAAAGGAGCGUAAUGGAAGGUUUCCUUGAAUAUCACGUGUAAAAACGACGGAACGUGAGGUUGAAUUAUCUUAACCAGCUUUCUACACUACACUACAGUAGAUAUUAUAAGUUCAUUACUAUGACUUGAUUAACAGAAAAUUAAAAUAUUAGAUAAUAAUUGACUGGAGCCUCUUGUACUAAUAUUGCUAAAAAUCAAUUGCAUGGGGGCGAAAGGUGAGGAAAAUCAGAGAAGGUUCAUAUAAGUGAAAAUGUGGUUAUAUAUGAUUUAGGGACUAUGAGAAAGUAAAAAGUAUAAUAUUCCUUCUGAGUUUAUGGUUUUUGUUUUUUUUUUCUGGUCAACCUUCUGAGUUUAUGUUACGGCAUAGAACAGUCAAACAAUUCUUGGGGGAACCAAAAAUUUUUUCUCCAUUCAUCGCUUUUGAUUUUAACAGGGUCCAAUGUCCAUUUCAAUAAAUGCAUGUACUUGGUAAGAGUAGCAUAGCCGUUGGAUUGCAUCUUGAUUGGAUUUCAUUACGGAGGUUUUUAUAAUUUGGUACUUAAAUCGGUUAAGUUAUUCAAUUGAUACAAUUCGAUUUAAUUAAAUAAAUUAUUAAAUUUUUUAAAAAAUAAUAAAAAUUUGGUUUAUUCGAGUCAAUUGAUUUAAUGAUUUUCUUCAAACUAAUUUUUUAUCCGACUAACUGAUCCGGUCUAGUCUGAAUUCAAACAACAUUAAAAAUGAAUACAUUAAAUCCUAAUAUUAGAUGAAUGAGCGAAAUAACUCUUCGAUUAAAAUUAUAAUAUUAAAUGUUUAUUUUAACAUUUUAUAUACAAGAUGUAAUUAUAAACUUUAUAACUCGUGAAAUAAAAUCACUUAACCCUCCUUACAAUAAAUACAUUUAUUAAAAUUAAAAUUUUUAUUACUCGUGUGGGAAAACUACAUAUUUAAAAUAUAAACGUUAAAUGUAAAAUAAAUAAUUAAAUGUAUGAUUUGAAAUUAAUUAAUAAUAAUACAUGAAAUAUAUAUGAUAUUAAAAUAAAAAUAGAUUAAAUUGUGAGUGAAAUAAAAUUUAAACACGUAAAUAAAUUAUAUUAAGAAUACUAAUUGCACUACAAUUAUUUAUUGUGUUGUUGUCAUCAAUUUUGAGUUAAUGUCGAGUUGACUUGUGACAUCGGUACCAUCUCAAUUGACAUCGUUAUCAAUAUAUACAAUGAAUAGAGGUAAUAAAGCAUGCAUAACAAAAUUAAAAUGUAAAUAUUACAUUAAAAUAGAGUUUUGGUUUAGUGAUAAAGUUAAUGCUUUUUAUUGAUAUAAAUAGCACAAGUUUAAAUCCAAUCACAUUCAAAUUUUUAAUUUUUUUAAAAUUGAAAGGAUUAAAGUAUCCUCAAAUAAUAUAACAUGUUUUAAUUAUGAAACGACAUUUUUUAAUUUUUUUAAUUGAGUUGAUGCCCAGUUGACUCAUGACGCCGACUCAAUAAAGGGCUUAAAUAAUAGUAUAGAUAGAUAAGAGGAAAAAAGGGUUAAUUUCAUUAGGAUCCCUCAAAUUUUAACUUACAUUCUAAAUUAGUCCUUAAACUUUGAAAUAUUAUAACUAAGUCCUUAAAGUAUCUAAAGUGGAAUAAUAUAUAAAAUGUGGGUCAAAAUGUAAACACAAUAUGUACCUACAUAUGUAUAUUAUUUGAUCCAAGUGUUUUAAAAAAUGGUUCACAUAAAACCCAAACUAGUAUUUUUUUUAAAAAAAGUUCUCUAUAUCUAUUUUACGGUCCAUAAUCAAGCUUUGUAAUUAUCCCUUUUAACAAUGUUGUUUUCAAAGUUUAAACUUCGAUUCUCUUUUUGAUAUGCAAUAUAUUUUACAAUUACACCACUUGUUGAUAAUUCCUACUAACAUUUAUUAUCUAAUGGCAACUAAAUUAAUAAAUAUUUUAAAAAAUUUUAAAUUGAAGUUUAAGGAUAAAUUUAAAAUUGUACUAUAAUUAGAGUAAGGUUUGUUGCAUUUAACGUGCAAGAAAAAUGAUUCAAUGGGAAUUGAAAAAAUAAUUAAAAAAAAAAAACCAGGCGCUAAGCACAUGAGAAUGUGAGCAAACUUAGAGUAACAAAAUCCCGCAUUAAUGUUCUGACCAAUUCCAAAGUAUAAUUUCUUGCAAUUUCUGACACAUAUAUACAAAAAAUCAAGAUCUAAAAGCAAAAAAAAAUCAAUUAAUGUAAUUUACAGAACAAAUUUGUUCGAUUUCUCUCUGAUUCAGCCAUGGGUAACUAAUUUUAGAAUUGUUGAUUGAAUUUUAUUUAGUUAAAAAGAACUUCUCCUUCUAUUGAAUGGUAAUUCGAAGGUGAGUACUUUUUUUAUUAUUGAGUUUUGAAGUUCUGAUUCCAUAGCAUCAUAAGGAAGAUUUUGCAUGAACUAAAUAUUCAAAGGGGAAUUAUUAAAAAAUGUGGGCAAUGAUGGAAUCUUAAUUUGUGUUUUGCAAAAUUCAAGAUUUGUUUUUAAUGAGUUGAAGGAAGUAAUAUUUACUUUUAAUGGUUGUUUUUAGAAAAUUGAGAUUGAGAGUGAGAGAAAAUGUCUGGGGGAGACACGCAAAAUUGCUUGAGGAAAGCACUUGGAGCCAUCAAAGAUACCACCACUGUUUCAUUGGCUAAAGUGAACAGUGAUUAUAAGGUGGAUUUAGCUGUCAAAGAUGGUUAUUUCAACUAUGGCUGUUGCUGGUCUUUAUUGAUUAUGCAUUUAUUAUUGUUGUUUUGCAGGAUUUGGAUGUUGCUAUAGUCAAGGCCACAAAUCAUCAUGAACGCCCUGCAAAAGAAAAACACAUUAGAGGUGGAUACCCACAUUCUAAUUAUAGUGAUUCAGCACUUUAUGGAUUCGUUAUAAAUAAGACUUGGUUUUUUUCCCCCCCGUUUUCACAGCCAUUUUCGCUGCCAUUUCUGCUGCUCGGCCUCGGGCUGAUGUUGCAUAUUGUAUCUAUGCUCUUGCUAGGCGGUUGUCAAGGACACAUAAUUGGGCGGUAUGUUAAAACAUUAACAAACAUACCGUGAUUGAUGGGUGUUUGUUGAAAUUUGAUUGAUUGUCUGGAUGUUUGUUUGGCUGGCAUUUAGGUUGCAUUGAAAACUUUGAUAGUCAUUCAUCGUGCUUUAAGGGAGGUGGAUCCAACAUUUCAUGAAGAAGUCAUUAACUAUGGCAGAAGUAGACGCCAUAUGCUUAACAUGUCUCAUUUCAGGGAUGAUUCCAGCCCAACUGGUACCUUAUCUUCUAACAAUCCAUAUUUUCUAUUUUCAGAAAGCUGAAGAAGUUCCUUGUUUAUCCAAUCUUUAAGGGUAAACAACAUUGUUAGCCACCCGAUUAUUAGUUUAUUUAUUUUUUAUCACUCAAUUAUAAAAAAUUAUAAAAUGAUCACUUAAUUAUUAAAUUUUUUCGCUAUUGUGUCAAAUUUAAAAGCUUACAGGUCAUCUUUUUAUUGGCUGUUAAUGACAAAAGAAAGGACAAAAUUAAAUAAUUUAGUGAAAAUUUUGUAAUUUUUCAUAAUUUGAUAAUAUAAAAUGAAGCCUAUGUAUAGUUGGGUGACUAACAAUGUAGUUUAUCCAAUGUUUAACCAUUUUGCUGCACAGCAUGGGAUUGUUCAGCCUGGGUUCGCAAUUAUGCCUCGUUCUUGGAGGAGAGGUUGGAAUGCUUCCGCGUCUUGAAGUAUGACAUCGAGAUGGAAGGCCAUGUAAGAAGCUCUUGCUAUAUCUCUUUCUAUUUUCGGGAAGAAAUAAAACAUAAGCUCUUGAAGUUAUGCUUUAACUUAUGGCACAAGUUAUGCCAUCUGUUCUUAGAACUGCAACUAUAUCUCUUUCAGGCUCUUUAAUUUUUUCUUUUUUGUAACUGAACUAUUUGGAGAUUUCAUAAAUUUAAAUAUUCUUACAGAGAACCAAAGAUUUGGACACUGCAGAGGUGGUUGAACAUUUGCCAGCACUGCAACAGCUCCUUUUUCGAGUUCUUGGCUGUCAGGUGAGUACACAAUUCCUGUUGUGUUCCACAAAAUCCCCCCCACCCCCGCUUCUUUUUAGUGGGAAUAUUAAUAGAAUUUGUGUGCAGCCACUAGGUGCAGCUGCUCACAAUCUUGUGAUCCAAUUGGCACUUUCUUUGGUAUGUUCAUUUUUAAACAUAGUACCCAUCUAUGCUCCCAACAUUCUCUUGUCCUUACCCUUUAGUCAUUUCAAACAGGUUGCUUCUGAAAGUGUCAAAAUAUAUCGAGCUUUAAGUGAUGGUACCGUGAAUCUCGUAGACAAGGUAAGCUGUAAUUUUAACUUUCUAAACGAAACGCUUUUCUUUUCAGUAAAUCAUGUAUUUAUGAUGCUCUAAACAAUGACAGUUCUUUGACAUGCAACGUCCUGAUGCCAUGAGAGCUUUGAGUAUAUACAGGAGAUUCAGGCAACAGGUAAAUUGAUGUCCCAGUUCCUAGCGUAAAUGAAGAUGAUUUAAAACUCUAGGGGAAUUGUACACUUUGUAUUUGCAGGCAGAAGUUCUUUCAGAAUUUUAUGAAGUAUGUAAAAGACUUGAUGCUGGGCGUGGUGAAAGAUUUAUUAAGAUAGAACAGGUUAGGAUACUUCAACUUUAGUGUCUUCUGAAACAGAGUAUGUAAAAUUUUCUUUUUGGUGUAAUGUUGAAGCCCCCUGCAUCGUUUCUACAAGCAAUGGAAGAGUAUGUAAGAGAACCUCCACAGGCUUCAACAAUGCGUAAAGAUCAGGUCUACAAAAUAAUUUUGUAUCUAUUUCUAUUCCUUUGCAUACAUGCAGUUAUAUAUAAUAUUUGCAUAUAUUUUGAACAAGCAGAUUGAGAAACCCAAAGAAGUGUUGGCCAUUGAGUACAAGAAAGCCCCAGUGGUGCUGCAAUGUUCACCAUCACCUCCUUUGCCAGAACCUGAAGAAGAAGUGGAGAAAGUGGAAAAGCCUAUUGCUGAACCACCAGAUUUGUUGGUAAUUUCAAUGUCUCUUUUUUCAGUUUCAUCUGCAAAUUUUGUAGUUUCAUUUUGAACUUUUCUUUUUGUUGCUAGGGACUAAAUGAUCCCGCCCCAGUUGAUUCUAAAUUAGAUGAGAAGAAUGCCUUGGCAUUGGCCAUUGUUCCUGCUGGUGGUUUUCCAGCUGAGCAAACGACUUCUACUGCUGCUCAAGUUCAAGCAAAUGGUACUACGGGCUGGGAAUUGGCACUUGUCACUGCUCCAAGCUCAAAUGACAGUGCCACUGCCACUAACAAAAUGGUACAUAUUAGAAGGCUAUCGGCAUAUUAGACUGUAAUGACUUGUUCAUGUAUGUCUCACAGAUACUAUUUUAAUUGAAAGGCUGGAGGAUUCGACAAGUUUAUAUUGGACAGCCUGUAUGAGGAUGCACUCCAAAGAAGCAACCAAAACGUCAGCUAUAAUCCAUGGGAACCACCUCCAGCAUCUGCUGCUAUGAUGCAACAACCAAUACAAGAACCCUUUUACGGCUCUGACCCACCUUCAGUCCAGAUAGCCGCAAUGGCGAACCAGCAUCAGGCUUUCAUGCUGCAGCAGCAGAUGCUGAUGAUGAUGGGCCCACAACAGUCGCCUUCUAAUGCUUUCGUAAAUACUUAUGGAGCCAGUGUCAGCCCUUGCAACUCAGGUAUGCCUGUUCAGCCAUAUACAGGCCUUAUAUAGACACGCUGGACGAGAAAAAUGUCGAGGCACACGAAGAUGCAACGUUCGAAUUGUCAAAUGUGAACAUGUUUUGUAGCAUAUUUUGUCAAUGCCCAGCAAUUAGCGUAUUCUUUUGUUAUUUGAUUAUUUUCAUUGAUCAUCUGUAAUUAGCUUAGCUAUAUUAAGAAUAAACAUGUCUGUUUAUUUGUUUAAAUUUGUUUGUUUAUGGAUUCAUCAACUGGUUUUAAAAAUAUGUUACAAAUAGAUGUGUAUGUAUAUAUGUGAAAAAUAAAAAGAUGGGACAAAUCAGGAAAAGCCACUGCCUUGUUACAUCAACCAGGACGACAAAAAAAAGAGUCCAUCAAAAAACAAAUGCGAACAGAAUAUAAGCGAUGAUCAGCGAAAGCAGCAGUAUCAAUGUCACCCUGCAAGACAAACAAAAAUUCAUAAAUGAAAUUGCUGCUAAAAGACUGAACUAUGAUUAGCCUCUCUCUCUCUCUCUCUCUCUAUAUAUAUAUAUAUGUACUUACGUGAUCUUGCAAUUACUCCACCACAUGGCAUUCUUGUAACGACGAGAUUGCUUUUUGAAUCGAAGUGAAUUCCCCUGCAUUGUGCUUGCCUUUUCAACCAGCAACUCCAACCGGUCGCCUCUCUCCAAUACUUUUUCAAUGUUGUCAAUCAUUACACUACGUACCUGUACGUACAAAUUUAUGAAAAAAUUGGAAUUUCAGGGAUAAAAAUCAUAAUAUAUAUAUAUGCAAAAUUUGCCUACGUACGUACCUGGCUCAUUUCCCCUUUCAACCGGUUUAAUCUAUCAGCAUUGGGAUCAGUUGAAAAAUGUUCCAUUUGUUGACUCAUGACCCUGGAGAAUUCUUCAUUCAUAGCAUAACCCGAAGCUGACUGAAUAGCACGACCAUAUGUCUUUACAAAUUUUUGAUGAAUCUCUUCAAGGAAAGCAAAAGGGAUUCUCCCUAUAUACAUAAUUCAUAAUAUCAAUAAAAUUAAUCAAAUGCCAACCAAUGAGAAAUAAAGAAAAACAUGGAAUAAUUGUAAAGGAAGCUGCUUACUGCCGGAGGCAUCAUCGGCCAUGCAAAGAACGGUGAGGCCAUCGGUUCUUUUGACAUGAAAAAUAUAACGAUCAUGGGAAAAAGAAGAAUUGCUAUCGUUCUUUCCUUGGCUCAUCUUCUCCAAAAUCUGUCUUGCUACGGUGCUGGCAUUUGUUUGAGUAGCGCUAAACUCCGCCAAAACAACCUGCCCCCUUGCCACCAUCCCAUAUAAAAUCCCCAUUUUCUUAAAUGGGGAGUUGGCGAUUGAGGAUCGGUGGCGUGGAUGCUAGAUUUUUAAGGGCUGAGAAAUGAGAAAAUGGAACGGCAAAAUAUAUUUAUAUAAUAAAACAAAGAAAGAGAGGAGGGAAGGAAUAGAUACAGGGAUGAAUUGGCGAGUUUGACGGGUUAAAGAAACGUGGACCAAUCAUAUUGCGUUUCCAUGGGUGGGAAACAAAUGGAAAAAAAAGAAAGGGUGUACAGUCUGGAUAUGAUGCUGCUGCAAUCAAAACCGUCACUAACACUUCAUCGUUCCACUUUAUUUAAUCCCAUUAGCUCUCCGACUGUUUUUCCUUUUCCCUUCAUUUAUAGCAUAAUUAAUAAUUGUAACAAUACCAUAAUUUGUAAUCCCAUAAUAGAAUGCUAAAAUAUUUUGUUAAAUAAAGACUACAAUUCAGACAAAUAACUCAUAUGUGGUCAAGGUUUUGAUUAAGGGGUUGGAAGAUUUAAGUCGCAUCGUAUUUAGAAAGGUUUAUAGGGUUAUGCAUUCUGAAUGAUAGUGGAUCAAAAAUGUGCCCAGAGAAAAUAAUUUAAUUGCGGAUCGUUUGGCUAGACUCUGUUUAGCAUGGAAGUCAAGCUUAUAAAUUUUUUAUGUUCCUCCAAAUGAUGUGUUGGAGGCUCUUCAAUAAGACAAAACGGUACAUUUGAGCAAUAUUCAUUUAAUGUAAUCUUGUUUUAUUUUUCACUAAAAAAAAUUCAGUACCUAUCUAAGUAAUCCAAAAGAGAGAAACAUUCAUUUUUUGGUAAAAGAAUGGUGAAGGUACUUGGAUUUGAAGUCAAAUUACAUUUUAUCCCCUUUACUUAAAAAAUGAAUAAAUUAGUCACCAUGCGUUAAAUCAAAGAAUAAAUUGGUUGUUUCUAUUAAAUAUACAAUCAUUAUUUAUUGUUAAAAACUAACGUGACGGACAUAAUAACCAAACAAUAACACAUGAGCAUAUCACGUGUACUUUAUGCUGACAUACAAUGACUCGUUUUUAACCGUAAAAAUAGAUGAAAUAUUUAAUAAAAAGACCAACUUAUUCUUUAAUCUAAAAUAUAAGAAUUAAUUUACAUACUUUUUUGAAUAAAUUGAUAUGAUUUAAAAAUAUGUUCAUGAAUAAAUAUAUAUAAUUUAUUUUAUUUAAAUUGCAUGUUUUAAAUUUUAAUUCAAUUGUUCACUAUUUGAUUUUAUACAUUUCAUAGAUUACUUCGUAGAUUUAAAGUUAAAUUGCUUUUAGUGUUGAAAUAUUUUCCUUUAGGGAAAAAAGAUUUUCGAAAGUAAUUUAAGAAUCUAGAAAUUAAAAGGUUAAAUUUUGUUAUUAAUAUAUGUACUUUUUGAAAAUUGUGAAUUUAGUCCAUAUACUUUAAAUUGAUAAAUAUUAGUACAUGAACUUUUUGAAUUGGUCGAUUUCAGUCCGUGUAUUUUUUUAUUUUUGAAAUUUUAGUCUUGACUGAAAUAGUAGCAAUUAAAACCGUUUGGUUAAAUUCAAUUAUUAGUAUUGUAUUGUACUUACAGUUGUACAUUUAGUCAAUAUUCUCUAAUUGGAUCAUUCUAAGUCCCUAUAAUUUUUUUAAUUUUGAAAUAUAUUUGUCAACACAAAUGACCGCCAUUAAUCCAUUAACUAGAUUUUUAGCGAGUGAUAUGUGGAAAUAACAAGUUGAUAUGGAAUUAUAUAUAUGUUAAUAUGUUUGUCGCGUUAUAUUUUUUAAAUAAAAAACAUUAAUUUAAUAAAUUUAACAGUUAUUGUUCGGUGAGGACUAAAUAUGAUCAAAUUAAAAUACAGGUGUUAAAUCCACAACUUUCAUAAAGUACAGGGAUUAAUAUCAAAUUUUAAUCAAAUUAAAAUGUUGAUUGUUAUCCCAUUGUUUAACCCAAAGGCCCUAAUGAAUUUCUUUUUCUGGGUUUCAUUAAUUUUGGGUUGUGAAGUUCAGAGCUUGUCGACUGAUCUUUGGCCCAAAUUAAACUCAAUAUAUGUUUCACUUUUUAAAAUAAACCACAAAAUAUAGGAAAAUUAGUCAAAUAUUGCGUCCGUUAUCCUCCUUAAUUAGAUGAAGACAUAAAAUAUAAUUAUUAUAAUUUAAUUUUAAUUAAUGAAGAUAAUGUAUAAAAUUAAUGAUUACGUAGAUUCUUUAAUAAUAUCACCCUUUAAAAUAAACUAAAAAUAACAACCUUAUAAAGAAAUACGAAAAUAUAGAUAGUAAAACUAGUCAUACGUGUCAAUACAUAAUUAAAAUAUUUCAAGAUUUCAUAUUAUAUACGCUUUGCAUUUGAUUAACUAUUAAUUAUUUUUAAAUUAUAUUACAAGUCCAUAUUUGAAUAUUAAAAUAUACUUUUAAGUCUUUAUACUUUUUGUAUAUUUAAAAUUUAGUAUUUUUAUUUUUUUUAAAUUUAGUUUAUCUAAUUUUCAAAAUUAAAAUCCAGAUUCAAUUAUUAACACUAUUAAAUUAUUUUAUUAAAUUCACUAGUAUAACAUUUUGAAAUUUAAAAAAAAAAUACUCACUUGAUAGUCAUGUAACAAAAAAAAAACAUUACAAUGAUAUAAAAAUUUGAGGUAUCAAAUUAUGUCAAUAAAUUAAAAUAUAAAAAUUGAACCUUAAAUUGAGUAUACGCAAAGAUCAAAAUUGAAAUAUGACCGUUGCUAUAUAAUCUAAAAUUUAAGUAUAGUGCAAAGAUUAAAAUUAAAAUUUUAUUAUUUUUUAUAAAAUGCCAAAAAGAGAGAGAGAGAGAAGAGGAUGACCUUCUUUUUAUAUAUAUAAUUAUAUACAUCCAAAAUUUAAAUUACAAAAUUAAAUAUUUUUUAUUGAACUUAUUGGGUAAUAGUUUCGUUUGAAUAAGAUACGAUUUACCAUUUGACUGAUGAGGUAUAUAGUCAAUGGUUAACCUAACUUGGAUUGGUUUAACAAACAUAAUGAUUUCCUGAAAGUUUGAAAUCGAUGAUUAAGAGUGAAAUCAUAAAUCAAUGAUUACACGCAAUGGAAUAUUAGUACAAAUAUUCUAAUGCUUUAAAUAAAGUUAACUUUUACUUAAAUAAAAAAAAAUUACUGUUGAUCCAUUAUACUUUUUAUCUUCCAAGUUCCAAUAAAAUUCUAAAAAAAUUAAUAAAUUAUACAAUCUAAUAAUCCAUUUAAAUUUUAAAGUGAAUGCUUCGUAAAAAAGUUUUUGGAGUUGAAUUUGAAUUUUUUUUUCACAUUAAUAUUUAUAUAUUUAUAUUAUUUUAAUUUUUAUCUGAGUUAGUGGAUUAAAAAUAUCGGUAAAUUAUUUCAAAGUUUUCAUUUAAAAGUCAUUGAACUGUUAAAUUUAUUGUUGUAUGGUGUUUUUGUUCGUACCGCCUACAUCAAUUGAACGCUUUCUUUCCUCUUAUUUUCUUCAGUUAAGUGAAUCAAAAUUUAAACAUCUUUUUAUUUUGAUCUUCAACACUGGCUGCCAGAUCAACUUGGUUCUGAGAUAUGUUAUUCUACUCGUUAACGGACACUGAUCCACCAUAUCGAUUGUUGGAUCAUCGUUUAGAACUCGUUAGCUGAACUCAAAAAAACAAACAAACAAACAGCCUAGUAAUUUAAAUAAGAACAUUUGAAUAGUUUAAUGACUUAAAUAAAAAUUUUUAAAUAGUUUAACAACCAUUUUAUAAUUUUUUAAAAUUUAAAUAAUCAAAACAUAAAUUUUUUUGAUAAUUUAGUGACAUGUGACCUUAAAAUUAAAAUUCCUUAGCAUGGAAGUAAAUCCAAAUUAUAUUAUGUAAAACGACUAACUUUUAGGGACCAUUUCUAAAUGAAUUUAUCUUCUAUUACAAUAUUUGCUCUUAGAUGGUAGGAAUGGCGUAAAGUUCAAUUGUAAGUACAAGUGAUGUAUCAUUCAAAUAUAAAAUUUUGUAUGAAUCCAGUUUUUCCACCACAAGCUUUGAUGAUGACGGAGAAUGACGAAUCAGGGAGAUAGAAAAGGGGGAAACAAGACAUAGACAAUAGACAAUGACAGCGUGAGAGACCCAUCACAUCGGGUUGAGGAAGACGAAGGAAAGGCACAAAUCACGGAUCAAGAUGAAUACAAGAAAAAGCCAUGCAUUCACGGACGGACGCUCCCUCUAUCACUAAUAUUUUUGUUUAUUUAUAUAUAUUUCUUUUAUCGUGGCCGUUAAUUAUCUUAACAGGAUUGAAUUGAGUAUUGAUCGAAAUAUUAAUUCGAAUAAAAAUAUUAAAUCAAUGGAAUCAUAAAUUGAUAUAAAUUGAUUAAAUUAAAUUAAAAUUUUAAUUGAAUUGGCUCGUGAAUUAUUUUUUUAUUUAUUUUUAUAUAUUUUAAUAAUUUAUUUAAUCAGUUCGAGGGACCGAUAAACCAAUCACAUUACCGGUUCGACCAAAUCUUAUGGCCUUCCCCACCGCCAUUCUCUCCUCUCUCCCUUGCAACAACAAUUUCACAUGCUUUUGCUGUACACCAAACCAAACAUGCGUUUGCUUUUUUUUUCUUUUUUUAAUUAGUGAAGUUUCCCUUUUAAUAUUUAUAUAUCUCAACCUUUUCUAAUUACUAUCAUGAUCAUAAAAGAGUUAAGAGGUUGUGUUUUUUCGUUUUAGGUAUAAUAUGCAUUUUAGUCCUCAACAUUUAUAUCUUUUUGUUAAUUUGACUUUUUUUUUUCUUUUAGUUAAAAUUGACUUUUAAUCUUUUCUAAAAAUAGUAAAAUUUAACUAUCAAUUUAAGUUAAAAGAUAAAUAGUGUUAUGUCAAUAUAAAGUAUGCAUAGACUGACAUAUGGGUUUCAAUUAACAUUUCCAUUAAAAAAAACUAUUUUUUGACUUUUUUUGAAUGAUUAAUGAUUAAAUUUAAUUUAAAAAAGAAUAAAGAUCAAAUUGAUAAGAAGUGUAAAUAUUGAGGACUAAAUCUGGCAUUAUGCCUUUUUAAAUGUUUCAUUUUAAAGGAUGAAUAUAAUUCUACCAUGGAAUCUAAUAAUUUCAUUGUUAAAAGUAAUUGGACUUAAUUAGGUUUCAAUGAACGGGGUGUUUCUUUUAAUUAUUCCGCUUUAUUUUAUCAAAAUUAUUGUAGGUACCUUUAGGUAAUGACAAGAUUGUUUGUCAUUAACUUAAUGGUAUAUGUUUCUUUUGAGAAAAUUUUCAGAUUCUGAUAUAACUCAGCAUAUACUAUGCUAUGGUGCCAUAACUGAAUUUGAGGAGACAUAUGCAAUGACAAGGAAAAUAAAUUUUGCUCAAUUCUAAUAAUAAAAGUAUCUACCAUGUGAGAAUUUACCAUGUCCCCAUAGCAUCUGCCAAAUGAACAGGUUAAAUUUUUUUUAAAUACUACGUAAAAAUGAUUUUUGAAUCAAUUUUUAUAAUUUCAAGGUUAAAUUUUGCUAUCAGCCUCUCUACUUUGGAAAAAGUUAUGGAUUUAGUCCUUGUGUUUGAAUUUGAUCAUUUUUAGUCUAUGUACUUUUUAAAUUUUGUUUCAGUCAUCACUAAACGGCAACUAUUUAAAUUUAUUAUGCUAUGCUAUUUCAAAAAUCCAAUGCAGUAUUAUCAUAUGUUUAGCUCCAUGUCAUUUCGACAUAUUACUCGCUAAAAUUCAGUCGUGUCAAGAUUGAAAUAUCAAAAUUCGAAAAAGUAUAGAGACUUAGAAUGAUCCAAUUGGAGAAUAUGGACUAAAUCUAUAAUUGUACGCAUAAUACAUGACUAGUAAUUGAAUUUAAUUACUUGGAUUUAAUUGCUACUGUUUGAGUCAUGACUAAAAUUUUAAAAUCUGAAAAGUAUAAGAACUAAAUCCAUAAUUUUAGCAAAAUACAGGGACUAAUAUAACAAUUUAACCAAGAAUAAUUCAGGGGCAAACAUUUUGAGAGGAUGAAAUGUAAUUUUAUUAUUAUUACUUUAUAAUUUUAUAAACUGUAAAAGAAGUUAAAAAUAUUGUUUUUAGGGGGUGGGGACCUGCCAGCCCCUGAAACAAUUAUAGAAUUUUGAACUAAUCUAUUUGAGAGGCUGUGUAAGGAUUUAAUAGAUUUUGUGUAUUAAUCACCAACCAUUUUAUAUGUGAAUAGCUGUCUUUUUUUGGCACGGUUUAUUACAAUGAAUGAAGCUGAGGGACUGAGAUAAUUGUAUGCAUAUAACGAUACUUGAAACCAUGAAUAUUAGGGGUCACUUCCCAUAAAAAAUAUUAGAAUCAUUGAUUUAAACUAAUAAUGCAGUGGGGGCAUCCAAUUUCUCUAGCUGGAAAUGAAAGAUGUAAAGCAAUAUUUUUAAAUAAAAAAUAAAACCCACCAUAUCAACAUGUGAUUAUACAGGCAAGAGGAUGGUCUAAUCAUCUCGAUCGGUCAGCUAUCAUGUGGCCCCCUAUGUUGCAUUAAUCAAAAUAUUUUUAUUUUGCUAGAUUUUAUAAUUAUUAUAUUUCAUCGUAAUUAAUUACAUUCAAACAUGUCUUAAUCGUGGUUUUAUAUUUAAUCCAAAACUUUUAUUCUCAUCCGUGAAUAUGGCUUUUACUUCAAAAGAAAACACUAAAGUGCUUUGUGGCCUUUAUUUCCAAAAAAGACAUGACAUUUGGCUUAGCAGAUAAUAUAAAAUAACCAGAUGGCGUUAGACCAUAUCGAAGAGAGGUUACUGUUAGCAGAUUAUUUACAACAUUAAAAGUAACAUAAAAAAACACUAAACCGAUAAUCAAGGGUAACAAAAAUUUAUAGAGAUAGAAUGAGGCAUAUCUAAGUUGUGAACCUAUGUCAUGCGUAGGUCAACCAUACAACUUGUACGGCAGUCCAUACAAAGGUAGGGUCAGAUUUUGUGGUAUAACCCGGCCGCUGUGUAUUUUCUUUAAAGAGAAGGCAAUACAUCGUCAAGAAGACACAUUUUACUUGGAUAAUAUGUUUUAAUUGUCCUUAAUUCCCAUAUUACUAUUUUUUUGAUAUAGAAUUUGGUUACUUCCAACUGCUUUAUAUUUAAAUAUUCAACGUUUUCAGAUAUGCAUGAGGAGAAUAUCGUAAAAUCAAACUAAAAUCUAUUGUUUCUUUCUAAAUAAAUACGGAUUAGAUAGCAGAGAUUAAAUCUUUAUAUGUACACAUCCUUGUAUUUGUAAAGGCAAAGUAAUAGAGUGCCAACUUGCAAAUUUUGGCAGCUGCCUUUCGAACCAAGCCCAUCUUCACGUGAUGUGCUUCUGCUUCUAGGGCUUGUUCAUUUUUGUUUGUUUUCUUCUACUCUUUGAUAUUUUGCUUAUAAAUCUUGCUUCUUUACAAUCCUUUUUUACACUCAAUUCUCUCUUUGGGUUUGAAAAAUGGAGUCCAACACCAAAAUGUCAGCUCUUCUUUUGCUUUGCAUGCUUUUCAUUUCUUCAGUGACACCAAUUCUUGGGUGUGGUUCAUGUGGGAAAGCACCACACAAGCAUCGAAAGCCUAAGGGAAAGUCCCCUAAAGGUCCCAUCACUUUGCCUCCCCUUGUGAAACCUCCAAUCAAGUUGCCACCGGUUGUUCCUCCAAUAGUUAAGCCACCCAUUGACCUCCCUCCGGUUACAGUCCCUCCAAUUAACCUCCCUCCAGGGACGGUUCCUCCAGUAACUAAGCCACCAAGUGGGAAACCCUGCCCAACACCACCAACCAAGGACACUUGCCCCAUUGACACACUGAAAUUGGGUGCUUGUGUGGAUCUGNNNNNNNN
rnacentral:lncRNA from 1 species